GGACUUUUAGUAUAUAGUAAUAAAUUACAAAUUUAUAGUUAAAAAUAUAUAUAUUUAUUAAUAUUUUUUUAGUUUAGUGUAGUUAGGUCCAACUGUUACAGCUGUAUCUACACAAGAAUACCUAAAUAUGCAGUUAAAUUGGCUACAGUACCAAAUACAGCAGUUGAGCCGGAGUGGACUUACCCAUUAAAAAUAUAAACAAAGUGUAAUUUUUUUUUCCUACACAUCUUUUUUAUUUUUUAUUUUCAAAAAUACAUAUUCAUGAAAUCUGAUAGGAUUAGUAAUAUCCGUUAGGGUCAAUAAAUUUUUUGCAUACGCUUUUUAUUUUUCAGUCUACCAGUUUAAUUAUAUCUUAAUUUUUAUUUUGAACAAAUUUAUAAUAUAUUUAUAUUUAAAAUUUAUUAAAUUCAUACAUAAUUUUAUAAUAUAUAAAUUAUAUAUAAAUAUAAAAGUCUUAAUUACUAAUUAAAAUAUGAUUCAUUAUGCUCAGAAGAGAUAAUCUCACCUUUCUAUAUAGAAAUUGACAGAAUUUACAAAUACAAAUCUCAACUACAAACUACCAAACAGAAAAAAUAUAACUGCAGCAGUUGCAACUGUACAAAACCAAACAAACUAGAUAUAGUUAAUUACAACUGCAGCAUUUACAACUGUAUGUAUUUUUAAUUACACUAUUUUUGUAACUACAUCCAACCAAAAAGCCCCUAAGUGAAUUAAUUAAUUAAUAAUUAUAUAUAUAUAUAUAUAUAUAUAUAUAUAUAAAUAUAAAAUUUUAUGUUUUUAAAAUUAAUAGUUAACGUCAACGAUUCAUCCGCCCCUGUAGUGGAAUGGGGAAGGGUGGAGUUAGGUAUAUUCGAAGUGACGAAAAGCUAGUUAGAGCAAAUCACAAUUAAAAUUCGUGAGUGUCUGUAUAUUUUAGAUAAAUUGACUGCAUCUUCUAACAACUCGAUCUGACACAGGGAGGGCGGCGGGGGCGGCAUGUGGGCUGCAAAGAGUGAAACUCUCAUAACCGGUCAUGUUAGAAACAAAUCUCCUCUUUAAGAGAAUACUAGUGUAGUGACCCGCGCGAUGCGGCAGGUAAAAAUGUUUUAAUAAAUACAUAUAAACGUAAAGAAGAAAUAAAAAAAUAUAACCAUAUUGAUUUAACAAUAUAAAAAAUAUAUUAGAGACUUUUAUUUAUAAUUAAAUUACAACUUACCAAAACACAAUAAAAGAAAUCGAAAAAAAAGAAAGAACUAUGGAAGAAGAAAAAUUGUUACAUAAAUAUCAUGAAAAAACAUUUGGAAUAUGCGACGAAAGGAUAACAAAUAUUAAAUGACACACUGAAGAACCUCAAAUUCACAUUUAGCUAAUCAAAUAAAGAGAUUCAUUUGUCCUAUUCUCUUUUUUGGCCCUAAUCAUAUUCCUCUUAAAAACCAAUUAUGAAGUGACCUACACAUUAAAGUGGAUAGAUACUAAUAAAGUAAAAUUUUAAAAAUAAUAUAUUGUCAGUAAAGAUAAAAAUAAAAUAUAUUCAUUUUUAUUAAUUAAAUAAUCUUAAAUAUACAGAUCGAGCCGAGAAUAACUAAAAAAAAUAUAAUACUUGCCUAAAGUAAACAAAAGAAUUAUAAGCAAAACUCUAAAUUAAGCAAAAUUGAAAUUUAUACAGUAUUAUAUAUUAUUACCUUUCCAAUUUACUUUCAUUUAUAGGACACAAAAUUUAGAGCUAUCAUAUGUUGACUUGAAGUCAAUGCUAGAGCCAAAAUAAGGAAAAAUACUAUAAAAUUAAAUUCCAAUUACUCUCCAUUUAUGGGACACAAAAUUUGGAGCUAUCAUAUGUUGACUUGAAAUCCAUGCUAGAGCCAAAAAAUAAGAGAAAAAAUACUAUAAAAUCAAAUUUAAAAGGGCAGUAAAUAGAGGCCAAAUAGGGUCGACUCAAUGUACAAAAUCCGACACAGAUUAUUUGAUUUGAUGUAAAUAGAGUAAUAUGUGGUUAGUCAAAAAUCACAAUAUAGUCUCAGACGACAAUUAAGCAAUAAAUAAAGAUUAAGACUUCCUACCUGCUGGAUUAUUGAGCAUCUGGUAGAAAAAAAAAAUUAUUUGUUUUUAUUAGUGCUCAUUGAGAAAUUUUGAUCAAUUUUAAUGUUUGAUGGGCUAGUUUUUGAAUCCUUCCAUCAACUUGUACAGAAGUCCUACUUGAAAAGACAGGUGGUACUACCACAUCGCCAUCUCAAUUCCUAGAGAAGAUGCAACACGACUACUCGAUGGCACCAAUACUUUUUAAGUUCCUAGAAUAUAGUUCAUAAAUUGGGUUAUAAAGAGAAUAAAAUGACUUAGGUUAUUUUUUGUAUAAAUAUUAAUUAUAAAUUUUAUAAUAUGUAAUAAAUUUUGUAUAUAUAGUUUACAAAUGUUAAAAUAAAAAAAUUGGAUUUAUAAGUGCAGGAGAAAGAAAAUAAAAAUUAUUUUUCAAUCUUUAUUAAAUAAGUUAUAUAUAUAUAUAUAUAUAUAUAUAUAUAUAUAUAUAUAUAUAUAUAUUAUAGAAGUUCUAAUUUUCCUUGUUCUUUUUUUAUUAAAAUAAAUGAAUAGAAUAAUUAGUCAAAAAAUUAUGGAAUAUAAACAAAAUAGAUGAAAUGAUAAUAAAUUACUUAAUCAUUGUAAGUCGGGAAAAAACAAUUUACUUAAUAAUAAAGUAAUACGAAAGUAAUCCUAGAAAUGAAAUACACGAUUAAACAAAUUUAAAUGACAAUAUAAAAAUUAAUAUAUUGAUUAGCUAUAAAUUUAACAAAAUACUCUGUUGAUAUUAUAAAAUGAUAACAAAAUAAGUAAGUUUUAAAUAAGUGAAUAGAAUAAUUAGUUAGUAAAUUGAGGACAAAAUUUAAAAUAGAUGGAAUGACAACAAACAAGCUCAUUAUUUUGGUUAGAUUAAUGUUUCGCCAUGUAUAGAGUGUUAGUAUAAGAUUAAUAAGCCUUCACUAAAAACUAAUGCAAAGAUUCUUAGCUUGGUGUUUAGAGGAAAAGAUCGGUUAUUUAGUAAAAAAAACAAAAGAAAAGAAAAUGAUUAUGAGAUAUUUAUUUGUCAAAGAACAUGUAGGUUUCAUACCUCAUGGAGAAUUUCAUAGUAAUUUAAACAUAUUUUGAACUAAAAGGAACUUUGUAAUGUUUCAUGAAAAAUAACUUUCCAAAAGUUAUGUAGCAUUUGAAACUCUCGGAUUUUGCGACCUCUCGCAUGAUCCUUUUAUCAUCUUCAAAGCAUCGUUGAUGAAAAUGAAGGGACCAUUUGGAUCAUCCAUUCCUGCAAAUGAGCAACAAACUUAAAAUUUAACCUAAAUUAAGCAAAUGUUGUGAAUCUAUAGCUAACUUUUGUGAAAAAUAUACUUGCCUUUCUGCGAUGAAAAAACUGGUGGAUUGCUGUACUUCUUGCUUGAUGUAGUUCAUCAGGCUUCUCAUUCCUCGAGGUACGAUAUAUAGCUAUAUUGAAUUAGCCUGUUUUCAGAAAAAUCUAGGCCUCAAAUUUCAUUCAAAACUAUUGCCAUCAAUUACAUGAAAUAAAUGAAAGAAAUUGUCAGUUCUUAGCAGGAAAAAGGACCAUGUACUUUUCUAUUUCCAAGUUCAUAAUCAAAUGUUCUAUAGUUCACUCAUUUAGCAUCUUCCACCUUCUUAAGAUCAGAUAGGAUUUAGAAAAAAAAAAAUGGUAUUUUAGUGAGAGAGGCCUCAUAUGUUCCAUUCGAAGCAACUUUACAGCUCUAUUUAUUUUUCGCAUUAUGUCUUACCCUAUCUCCGAUUGGUCGCAGAUCCUUGAAGGCUGCAAAGUUAGAAAAUAUGUUGUUAGGUUGAUUGUAGAACAACAAACAAAUCAAAGAAACAAAACAAUUUUAGAUGUUAUUGAAUGUGAAUCUUAUUAUUCCAUUUCCAUCAGGAGUAAGAUGAUUAAGAGUCUCAUUCCUGUUACAGGUGGCCUGUAAUCUUUAAAAAAGAGAAACAAUUGUUUUUUGUGUUAACCUACAAAAAAAGAAAAAAAAAAAGCAAGUUGUUCAUGCGAAGGUACAACGAACGUACUUAGAGUAGCGGCGCCUGAAUCCGCCAGGGUAUCAUUGAGUAACUCGCCGAUUAUGUCGAUAGAACUUUUCUGCGCAUAAUAUGUUGUAUAGUGACUAAUUUCCACAAAAUCUAAGGACCUCUUAAUUAGAGCAGACUCAUCACCUGUAAAUCUUGGCAAUCUGUUUUUAACCCUUGUUCUCAUUGAAAUUGGGUAGUCCCCAAAGACCAAGGGAUCUAUAAACCUGUCAGAUUCAAAGAUCAAUGUAUCAGAUUGAUUGAUACAUUGCUUUUCAUUUAUGUAAUGAUGUAGGCAAAUUGGUGAUUGUACCAUCCAAAUUGAAAAUCCUGUGCUCUUUGUGUUGCAGCAAUGUCUUCAGAACUAUUCGUCAUCGGUUCCAACCAAAUGACAUCUAAUGCCUAUUCCGACAGAUUCGUGCUGCGUCGACUGCAUUAUAAAUCAAUGCGUGAAACCAAAGAAAUGUAUGAGGCAAACAGCAUAGUAUAUGCAUCCUCAGAAAUAAUUCUCUGCUGUAGUUAACUUUUAUGUAGAAUCAAAUACACUCUCAGCUGUAGUUAAAAGCAACUUUUCCACACUCCGUAAGGCUGUGUGCAAAAUCAGUAAUUACUUACAAUAGAAAGAGUUAAAUUAAUUGAAGUAACCUUUUUCUUUAUUGUAUACAUCUCAAAUUACAUUACGAGCAAGCAGUUGUAGAAUGCAUCAUACUAUUGUACAAAAAAAUACGUAAUGAUUAAUUCGAAAAGAGAAUAUGUUAUAAAAUAUAAUUUUUUUAAAAAACUAAAUAGCAUGUUAUCUGUUUUAUUUAUUUUUUAAAAAAUAAAUUUAACUGAAAAUGUGAAUUAACUAAAAUUCGAAUUUGAGAACUCGAAUAGCAACCACCAAAUCAUUAAUUUACCACUUGUGCUAGGGACCGUCGGUAAGUAUAUAUGGAUCUUUAGUCGUUGCGAAUCGAUGCUCCUUUUUGUUUGGAUGAAAGUGGAAAGGAGGUGAGGCCGUUUUCAACCGUAAAUGAUCUCUUAUGUUGUUUAUUUCGCCGUAAUAAAAAAUUGGUUGAAACUCGAAUUAUCCGAAAUCGCGUAAUUGACUUCGGUCCAUUCUGGGCCAAAAUCAAUCACGGUGAAAAAAGGUGAAAGUAGAAAUAAUAAAUAAUAUUACUUAUAUUAAUUUAAAUAUACUUAUUUAUGGCAUUAAUUACUAUUUUAUUUAGUUUGCAUAUUUAAAAUAUGAUAAAAUUUGAUUAGUUAAGUUUUAGUAUUUUCUUCAUUUACUUUGUACAUUUAAAAUAUGCUGAAAAUUGAUUAGUUAAGGAUUAAUAUUUUUUUUACUUUAUAAUUUAUUAUUCUAAUGUAUAACAAAAUAAUUUAGUUGUUUUAAAUUAAAACUUUUAAUUAUAUAGAAAUAUAAUUAUAUUAAAACAAUAUAAAAUUUGAAUUUUUUUAAAAAUCAAUUUUUACAUAUGUACAAUAUGGUUUCUUACAAGUAUGUUAAAAUUCAUAACUAAGCAGUAAAGGAAGAACAACAAUAUAACCAUCAGAUACUCUUAAAAAAGAAUAACAUAGAUGAUAAUAAUUUGCUAUAUGAUCACAAAGUAAUGGCUAUAUUGCACUUUUGGUUCUCAAGCUUUGAGAGGCUUCACUUUGAUCCUCAAACUCCGCUAUGCUAGGAAGGAGCCAUUCGUGUUUCGGCCAGAUGAAGGUAACAUUUUUAUAAAAUUCAGGACAAUUGAUUUUUGUAUACUUUUUCUAUAAUACGGUGCUUAUUGAAGGAUUUUUUUUUUAGUGAACAAACAAAUUGUUAAAGGAUUAGAUCAAACUGUGGUCACAAUGAAAAAUGAGAAGUUGUCUUGGUAACAAUUCCACCAGAGCAUGCAUUUGUAUCGGCUGUGAAAAAAAUACAUGGUACGGGAUUAUUAACAUUUUAAUUAUUUUCAUUUUUGAAUGGAUGAAGCGAAAGAAUUCUCAGAAUUGAUUUCAAAGCAAAAUGUUGUAUAUUUUUUUCUUUCUUUAUUCUCUGCUUGAUAAAAAAAUGUAAUAUAUUUUUUAUAUUAUUAACCAAUUAAAUGUGGCUAUUUCUUACUUUUUUAUAUUUUUUAUUUGUUUUUUUAUUUUGUAUAUUUUACUAUAAUUUCUAUCCGCCGCAGCGUGCGGGUGCCUACACUAGUUAAACAUGAUUCGUAAAUAAUUCGCCCUAAAAAAACGGCCGGUUGCUGCGAGCCUGCGACGCAGCCUCGCGGGCCUCGCGGGUGGCNACAUGGUACAGGAUUAUUAACAUUUUAAUUAUUUUCAUUUUUGAAUGGAUGAAGCGAAAGAAUUCUCAGAAUUGAUAUCGAAGCAAAAUGUUGUAUAUUUUUUUCUUUCUUUAUUCUCUGCUUGAUAAAAAAAUUUAAUAUAUUUUUUAUAUUAUUAACCAAUUAAAUGUGGCUAUUUCUUACUUUUUUAUAUUUUUUAUUUGUUUUUUUAUUUCGUAUAUUUUACUAUAAUUUCUAUCCGUCACGGCGUACUGGUGCCUACACUAGUUAAACAUGAUUCGUGAAUAAUUCGCCCCAAAAAAAGCCCCGGUUGCUGCGAGCCUGCGACGCGGCCUCGCGGGUGGCCCAAAGACCAAAACAAGAAAGAAAAAAAAAACUUUCUUGAAAGAUCGCNUCGCAUAUUGAUUUUAAAUUUUUAUUUUGGGCCUUAAUCUCGAGUGCUUAAUUGAAUCUGUCCAUUCUCUGUUAUGCACAAAGAAGACCCAAACAUAGAGCUAAAUAAUCUUAAUUAACUUAAGGGACCAGGAACUCUUCUAUUAUACCUAAUCAAUUUCAUGAUCUUGUACUGUCGACACUUGCAAAAGAAAAUUUUGUUGUGGUCUUUCAUGGACCAUUGACUCAGUGGGGUUUCUACUUAAUUUUUUGAAACAUAACUUUUUAGUAUUAGAAAUGCAGCAAUUUUUCACUAUAUAAUGAGAAGAUCCGGAGAAUAAGAGUUUGAAGAUGUCUAACUUUAGAAUCCUUCUCUUCCUCUAAACUCCGGAUUUCAAGCUUUUACGUAUGCUUAUAUGGGGAAUAGUGAACUUUAUGUAUCUUUUAUUUGUUUACUAUUUAGACUUUGGAAUUUAGAUAUGAUAGUAUGCGGUUAUGCACUAUGCAAAGUGCCAGUUUCAUCUUGUAUUUAGUUUCUAACUAUGCUUGUAUGUGAACCUUUUAUAUUUUACAUUUAAACGUGGACUAUCUUGAUCUCUUAUUUGCUUAAUUAUUUCUUUAUUUUGAGGCAUAAUAUAGUUUACCUUUUUUUUUUUUACCUUAAUUAGUUUAAUUUUGUAGCUCUUUAUUCUUAUAUUCUUAAAAAAAUAUGAGUAUUUAUGCUAAUAGCAUAAAUUUUGAGAGGAAAAAAACUUAAUUUAAUAGCCGAAUUUUUGAUCCCGAAUUUUUAAUUGGUGAACGUAUAAUAUCUGUAUAAAUCACGUAUCCGAAUAAUUGGCGAAUCCCUUUUUUAGCCCUUUUUUUCAACGAAUUUAAAAAUUAGAAGGCAAAUUUUAUCCGAAUUAUACCCGUACCGAAUUUUUGCCGAAUCCGAAUUAACUAACUAUGGUCGCUGCCCUCUCAAAAGGAGAGAGAGAGAGAGAGAGAACGAAAGUGCGAAAGGAUAUCUCCGAGCUCAAAAUUAGGGUUUCGUCUUCUCCGAGCUCAACAUUAGGGAUUCGUCUUCUCCGUCUCCCUCCUCCGAUCUUGGUGAUCUUCCUUGAUCGCUAGGGUUCUUUCGAUCUCCAUCUCCUCCUCCUUCGAGCCCGGCGAUCUCCCUCGAUCGCUAGCGUUUCUUCUUCGUCUUCGAGCUCCUCCGAUCUCGGCGUGCGAUCUCCCUUGAUCGAAUUCACCUCAGUUAACUCUUCUCCUUCUCAAGAUCGAGGGUGCUGGUUUCUUGAUCUCGUAUGAAGAAUUAGAGCGUAUCAUCUGUUUGAUCCGUUGUUUUCUUCCCUUUUCCCGUGGAUUGAUGCCGUUGUUUUUAGAAUUUCGGCUAUUAUUGCAAAAGAGAAAUAGAAGAAGCUCUUUUUAUUAGUGACAUAUGUGGAGGUUCCAAUAAUUUCGUCUUUCUUAUUUUUAGUUAAGCUGGACGAAUGAAGGUUGUGGUUUCCUGAUCUCUUAUGAAGAAAUUAGGUCAUAUCACCUGUUUGAUCCUUUGUCCUCUUUUGUUUUGGUGAAAAAAAAAGUAGCUUUUCUUGUUACUGUUUUCUUUCUUUUCUUUGAAACAAAAUAUUGGUACUACUUGUUACUGUAUAUCUCUGAGUCAGAUUCUCUUUCGAUCUAUUUUGGUUACUCGAUAAUAAUUUUGAUAAAUAUAUGCUGAAUUUGUUCACUUUUACAUUGUAUGAAGAUCUUAAUAAUUUCGUUCGUCUUCUUUCUAAUCUAGUUCAAUAACAAACAUUAUGGUUUUCUGAUUUCAUAUGACAGAAUCAAGGCGCAUCAUCUGCUUGAUAUGUUGUUCCCUUUUCUUUUGGUACGAUAAGAAGCUAUCUUGUUAGCAUAUUCGGUAUAUUCUACAAAAGGAAUGGCUUUUUUUUUCCUUUUUUGUAUAUCUCUGGUUUGGAAUCUUGCGUCUUUCUUGGUUUAUUUUUAGUUAUUUUUAUAAAAUGUGGAAUAUUUUUUAAAUGGACGUGUAUGUACCUCCUAAUUCUUGUUGCCUUUGGGAUUUAUUUGUUGUUUUUAUCACUCUUAUGUGAGCCUUAUUACUGGAUUUUAGGAAGCUAGCUGCGACCUGUAAAAAGUAAGUGAAACAUUGCAUUUGUCAUUAGUAAGAAAAAGCUGAUCUUCUAGUUAAGAGAGGGGAGAGCCAUCUUUUAGGACAUCUCCUUUGAAGGUUGUGAUUUCUUGAUUUCACAUGAAAAUUAGGGCAUGCCAUAUGUCUCACCCGUUUUCCCCUCGCAAAAAUAGCUAUAUUUGUUAUUGUAUAUCUCUGAUCCAGAUUCUUUCACCUACUUAAUUUGUUACUGUAUUUAUUUUUCUUGAUUAAUUUACUUUCUACUGAGGAGUUAGUGCAGAUUGAUUUCUCUGGGUGUUAUCAAAUUCUAACCAAGAUGAUAAAUCCGUCCACGAUAGAAGAUUUCCAUUUUUUGCUUCAUUGACUCUUUCCUAUAGUAUUAAUAUAUAUAAUACUUUCCCAUGCUUAUAAAUGUGAUUUUCAAUCUUCUCUCCAGCUAUAUAUAAUUGCGGCAGGAACUGCCACUCAAGAAUAAGCUGUUACAUUCUUCUCUGGUGUUAGUUUCUGUCACAAUUUUAUUGCAUUGGUGGGUGGGAAGUUUCAAAACACUUUUAGAUAUUUUGGCUUUCGAAGGCCUAAAAGCGAGUGCUUUUGGCAAUGCAAUUCCAAUUAAGCCUAAAUAUGCUGACUCAGUUGUCUUCUAUUUUUCGGCUCGAUUUGAUUAUUGUAGUUAAUGAUAGCAUUUAGAAACACUGUAUUUUCUAUUUGUGAUCAAAACUUGUUGACUUAAUUUUAUAUUCUUAGGGAGAGAAAAAAAAAAGAACGAAAGGAAGGAUGUUUAACGGAAAUAAUGGCAAUCUUCAGUUCCCCUCUUUCUUGGAGCAAGAACAAUUCCGUUAUGGUUCUAGUGCAUCUACUCAAUUGCAGUUGUUUGGAAACACUGAAUGUGAGUUUUGUGAUGCAUCGUUGUUUUGUCUUUGCUAAUUGCUUGUUAAUUUUACUUUUUAAUUAUGAUUAUUUGCGCUGUUGCUUUGUACAUGCAUGUAAUUCUCCGAUAUAUACUGUUUGGCUUCUAUAUUGAUGUUAUUAGUCUAUUUGAAUCAUUCCAUUCUUUCAGCUUAUGGGGAUUUAUGUCCAUUAUUCUUUAGACAUAGUUUCUCUAGCUCUGUCGUAAAUAGCUUCACUCAUUUAUAUGCCAAUUGCAACAUGAUAUGUAGGUGAAAGAACUAUGCCCCAUCUAGUAGUGCACAGUAUCAAGUGACUAAUGAGAAGUGGCAAAAUAUGGAAUUUAAUAAGAAAAGAAGAGAACUUUAUUAGGGCUUGUUGGCACUGCCAAAGUGAGUCGUUAGUGCUAUUAGGCGAAACACAUAAUUAAAUGCCUCCAAUAGCUUCUCCCAUAGUACACGAAUCUUUAAAUUUGCGUUUCUACAUUAGGGGGAAUCUCAUUUCAGCUUCCAUUUGCAUUGGAAGCUCCAUACUUUCCAUUUGCCAUUGCAACUGAAAGAUAAAGUAGAAGCAUGCCAAAUAAGCAAUAAUAAGUAUUCUUCGGUUUGGAAGGCUCAUCAAGAAACUUCUUUGUCAUUCUCAUCGGAGAGCAAUAUUGUUUUGUCAGGUUUUAUUCUAUGUUAGAAUUCGUUUCUUCCAACAAAACUCCUAAAGUAGAACUGUGUGAAAAUUACCUGUUAAGAAAAGUUUCUUAUUGAUAUACACUAAUGUUUGCUAGAAGGGGGGGGGGAGAGAGAGAGACACACACACACACACACAACUCCUAAAGCAGAACUGUGUGAAAAUUACCUAUUAAGAAAAGUUUCUUAUUGAUAUACACAAAUGUUUGCCAAAAAAGAAGACAGAGAGAGAGAGUAAGAAAAGUUUCUUAUUGAUAUUCACAAAUGUUUGCUAGAGAAAGAGAGAGAGAGAGAGAGAGAGAGAGAGAGAGUUCUUAUUGAUAUACACAAAUGUUUGCCAGAGAGAGAGAAAAAGAAGAAGUUAGCUACUAUUCUUUUAUAUUGUCAACCCUACAUCUCUCCGUUCAAUGGUUAAAAACUCAAAAGCACCAACUCCUUGGUGCUUUUGAGAGUAUUCUAUAUCAACUUAUAUAUAUAUAUAUAUAUAUAUAUAUAUAUAUAUAUAUAUAUUCUUUACUUGAAUCGAAUCUGAUUUUUCUAUUUCUUUACUUGAAUUGAACCGGAUAAACUUGUUGCAUUGGAUCAAACCGGCCCAGUUACUCCACAUGUUUCCAUCUUUGAACUACAUUUUUCUCGAUAUUUGUUCGCACGCUACUCUUAUACUCUCAAGCUCUGGGUACUCCCUUCGAGCAUCCACCAUGGUUGCCAAAUAGGUCUUACACCCUCCUUUGAUCAUUUUCCUCGCCCUCGCCGCAGAUAUAGUCGCCGCGAAGCGCGAGCUUUUACACGCUCAAUAUACCAGCUCCUCCUGGUUAGGCUCACGAAAAGUGAUUACCUUGCUUUCAUAGUCUAUGACCGCAUAGUACUUGAAAAGCCAAUUGGUUCCCAAGAUAACGUCGAAUCCCCACAUCCGAUCUAGCACCAGCAGGUCUAUCGGCAUAAUCCAUUCGCCUAUCUGAAUUGGACACGCCAAACAAGAAUUGUAAGAGCUCCAUUGUUGUUCAAGCAACCAGAAACAAAAAUUCCUCACAAGAAUUUCUAUUCGACAUCUAUUUCCAGAGACGAGAGAGACGAAAAAACAGGGAGGAGAAUGCGAGUACCAAAGAUAACGCUGAGGACGUUGAGUAAGACGAUGCUCCGAAUCUUCGUCGGCACGAAAGAUACAACCUUUCUCCAAAUCGAUCGCCUCCGUAAGAACCCUAAUCGCCGCACACCCACUCCCGCUUCAUGGCCACGGGCCAAUUGGGCAGAGGAGGAGCCCUCCGCCCCCGUAGCGUCUCCCUCGCCCUCGACGAAGCUCAGCUCCACGGGAGGUCCCAUGUCGGGGGGCACCUUCUUCCAUCUUCGGUUCCGUUCCACCGAUGGUGUCGUCGGAGUAGGAGGAGGAGAUUGGGGGGAGUAAGAAGAGGUGGUUUGUAUAAGGAUUCUUCUAGGGUUCUUCUUGGUGAGGAGGAAAGAGGAAGCGGAGGAGGAGGCAUUGGUUUCUAAAAAAUUACUUUUAUUUUAUUUUUUCAAAUGGCUCUUCGUUUUGCGUUGCAUUUACUCACAUUUAUUUAAUUUUUAGUGGCCCUUGGUCUACCAUUUAUAAGAAAAUAUAUAAUGUUUGUACUUAAAUUUAUAUUGCAUAAUUAUACAAAGGAGGUGUUUCCUCUUCUAAUGGUCCUCGAAGACAAUAAGUAUUGACUAAAAUAUGGAGUCAUCAAGAAAGGGGUUGAAGGCAUUGUGGUACCUCACGUAAUCGCCGGCGUCGGCAACGAAAGCCUUAAAUAAGGGUGCGAAAGGGUUCGAUAUCUAUAUAACAAAUUUUCUUCUCCUAUAGUUCUUAUUAUCUUUUGUUGAUUUGUAAUUCCAUUAUAAAAGUUUCUAUAUAUUUUUCAUAUUAUUAGAUUUAAUCAAAUAUAAUUAUAUUCUUUUUUUUUUACUGUUUCAUAUUUGUUUAUUUAAUAUAAAAAUUUUUACUCCGCCGCGUCGUGCGGGUUCCUACACUAGUGUUAUAAAUAAAUGUGGAAUGAGCAAAGCUUUUGUUCUUAUAAUUCCAGUGAAAAUUGGACAAAAUUAAUUUAAUUUCACUAUAUUUAUUUUUUUAAUAUUAGAUGUUAUCAUUUAAACUUUCAAAAAUUUUAUUUUUUUAAUUUAAAUUAAUUUAAUUUUAAUGUUUUUUUACCAAGUUUUUAUUUUGUUGCACAUAGAAUGAUUUGACUUGUGUUUUUUUUUUUGGCAAAUGGGAGAUUUUUUUAUUAAGGGAAAAUUUCAAAAAAAUCCCUUGUGGUUUCAAUUUUUUUUCAUUUUAAUACUAUGUGGUUUAAAAUGUAUCAAGUUAGUAUCAUGUGGUUUCUUCUCACUUCAUCACUUUAAUACCCUGUGGUUUAAAGUUCAUCAAGUUAGUACCCUGUGGCUUUGCACUUUAUCACUUUAAUACCCUGUGAUUUAAAUUUUGUAUUAAGUUAAUACCCUGUAGUUUUUUAAAUCACAAGGUACUAAAGUGAUAAAGUGUGAAACCACAGGGUAUUAACUUAAUACACUUUAAACCACAGUGUACUAAAGUGAUAAAGUGAGAAACCACAGGGUACCAACUUGAUAUACUUUAAAUCACAUGAUACUAAAAUGAAAAAGUAUAAAACCACAGGGGGUUUUUUGAAGUUUUUCCUUUUAUUAAUUCAUCUAACCGGUUCGGCGAAUCAGUUUGAACCGGUUCGGUGCAAAGCUUUUGUAAUCUUAGCUCGAGUCGCAAACUUUUGUAAUCUUAGCCCGACCGGUUCCCCCCUCAAAUGAUUAAAGGUUCGACGAAACCCUAGUCUCCUCUCUCUCUUCGCCCCAUCUUCAUCCUCGACUCUCCGCCUCCGCGUGGCUCCGAAACUCUAAUUCCUCGCCCUAGCUCAUCUUCUCCUACAAGCCCUAGUCGAGGUACCUCUCGCACUCCCCAAUUGCAACAAUUUUUUAAUACUGGUCCCAAUCCCCAAUUGGAACCAGUUUUGUGACAACAAACGCGGAUGGGGUUCUUUAUUUGCACUCAGUAUGAUGCUUUCUCUUUGAUUCUUCAUUGUGUUGUAGUUAUUUUCCAACAACAAUAUCUUACCUUAUUCUGCGUGUAGUUGUGGCAUUUUUUUACAAGGGGUUGUGAAUUUGGGGCAACUUUAGUAGACAGCAAGUUCCUAUAUUGAUCUAAAACAUAUAAUCUGUUUGAUUUAGGCUAUAAACUAUUCAUUGUUCAAAUAUGCCUUAUUACAUGUCUUCUGUAAAUCGACCGUGACGGCGUAUAAUAAUCGAACCAACAUUCAGUUAUUUAGGUUCUGCCUUUUUAUUCUUUGUAUGCUUGCUUGUAUAUUAAAUUCACGAGGACUUGAAAUUUUUGCUCAAGGUAACAUGUCGCAGAGCAAAGCAUCACUUGGUCUAUCAUGGGCUCCCAAGGUGCCUAUCUCUUCUGCUCAACAGUUAACAAUGAAGAAUAGUAUUAGCUUGAAUAGAUAUUCAUUUAAAAAAUUGUCAAAGAUGUAAUCCGAUAAGAAAUAAUUCAAAAGAAUGCACAAAAAUCAAAUCCUAGAUGGAUACAACAACUGCAUCAAUUAUGAAAUCCAAACUAUCCACGAAAUUAAUCCGAAUAGUAUAGAUAAAUUAAAUCCUAGAUGGAUACAUAAUAAAUAUUCAGUUAGCUUCCUCUACCGAAAAAGCCAUUCGAUUAGCUUCUUCUUCCAAAAUCCAAAGACAUCGACGUAGAAAGAAACCCUAGAAGUGAUUCGACAUUAAGGAUGGAGAUGGAGCUCCGGCAACACUAAAAACGAAAUAUUUUAGAUGUUAAUUUUCNACAAACGCGGAUGGGGUUCUUUAUUUGCACUCAGUAUGAUGCUUUCUCUUUGAUUCUUCAUUGUGUUGUAGUUAUUUUCCAACAAACAAUAUCUUACCUUAUUCUGUGUGUAGUUGUGGCUUUUUUUUUACAAGGGGUUGUGAAUUUGGGGCAACUUUAGUAGACAACAAGUUCCUAUGUUGAUCUAAAACAUAUAAUCUGUUGAGUGAGGCUACUAUGCUAUCGGAAGCACGGAGCUUUCCGUGCUUCUAUCUCGUUUUCGAUGUUGCGACUUUCGAAUCGUCGAUCGGCUCUGUNAUCGACGUAGAAAGAAACCCUAGAAGUGAUUCGACAUUAAGGAUGGAGAUGGAGCUCCGGCAACACUAAAAACGAAAUAUUUUAGAUGUUAAUUUUCAAUAUUUAAUAUUUAAGUUGUAUGAAAUGAAAAAAAUUCAAAAUAGUGUACAUGAAUCAAAUCCUGGAUAGAUACAACAACUGUGUCAAUUAUGAAAUCCAAAUUAUCCGUAAAAUUAAUCCGAAUAAUAUAGAUAUAAAUCAAAUCAUAAGUAAUUGGGAUUUAGAAAAAGAAAAAAAAAAUUGUGAUUAGGGUUUUGAUCCGUUUUCAAAAACUUACCCGCUUGACUCGUCCAUGAUCGCGGUCCAGCUUCCUCUACCGAGAAAGCCAUUUGAAUAGUUCCUUGUUCCACAAAUCCAUAGAGAUCGUUUGAUUAGCUUUUUCUUCCAAAGAGCCGAAGAGAUCGAUGUAGAAAGAAACCCUAGAAGCAAAUCGAGGCCGAGGAUGAAGAUGGAGCUUAGGCAACACCCAAAAAAAAAAAAAAAACUGUAGAAAUGAUGAGACAGAGAAGAGUAGGGGCCGAAGGGAUGCAAUAUGAAAAGGCGGAGGGACUGACAGCUUAAACAAAAAAACAGGUGAGAUAGAAGGCGGAGGGGUGGACGGGAUGUGGAUUAAGGGAGAAGCGGCCAUAUGAGAAUAUUAAACGGCUCCUUGGGAGGAAGAGGGUAGCUGACAGGUGGGUCCCACCGCCUAUAAUUUUAAGUAAAUUAUGCUGACAUGUAGGCUCCACAGACCUAAAAUUAUGUUAUGCUUGCCACGUGGACUAAUUAUGGGGCUUAAUAUAAGUUAAUAGAAGUUAAUAGAUGUAACUAGCAAAAAAAUUUAUAGCUACAGUGCUCUCGAAAAAUAUGCGCAUAUAUAUGGCUACAAACAACAUGUAUGCAUAUAUAGGGUCCGGCUACUAUCCUAUUAAUAGGAUUGGGACUCUUGUUUUAUCAAGUCGAUUUGAAUGAUCGGAAUUUCAAAUUGAUAAUCGGCACCGUUGAGGUUGAUCUACACAAUUUGAAAUGUUUAGAAACCAAAUUUUGUAUUAUUUAAAAAUUAUUAUCAAGUUCAUCUUAAGAGUUGAAAAAUGAACGGUCAUAAAUGAAUAACCUUCUUAAAAUAGAGAUUAGACUUUCUCAGUUCGCAAUCAUUGUUAUCAAACAUUAUCUAAAUAGUAUAAAGAAUUUUCUAUCAAAAAUUCAAGCAAAAAUAGUAUAAAGAAUUUUCUCAAAAUUUAGAAACCAAAUUUUGUAUAUAUAUAUAUAGUUACUACAACAAACACAUAUAAUCCAUUACAAUAUCAUAAUAAUAUUACACAAUAUCACCCCAAAUCUCUCCAUANUAAUUUCACCAUAUUUAUUUUUUUAAUAUUUAUAUGAUAUCAUUUAAACUUAAUUUUUUUUAUUUAUUUUAAUUUAAAUUGUUUAAUUAAAAAAAUUAGUUAAAUAGUAAUUCUGUUAAUAUAUUAAUAUUUAACACAUUGAAUUCAUAUGUUGGAUUUUUAACGGGCUGAAUAAGAACGUAGAAAAAUAAAUAAAUUUUUUCAAUGAAGCUAUCAACUUUAUAGUGUUGAUUUUUUUUCAUGUGCUAUCUCUCGCAUCUCUCUCACAUCUUAUCGACAUUUGUUUUUUUACCAAGUUUUUAUUUUGUUGCACAUAGAAUGAUUUGACUUGGUUUUUUUUUUUUUUUUUUUUUUUUUUUUGGCAAAUGGGAGAUUUUUUUUAUUAAUUUAUCUAACCGGUUCGGCUAAUCAGUUUGAACCGGUUCGGGGCAAAACUUUUGUAAUCUUAACCCGAGUCGCAAACUUUUGUAAUCUUAGCCCGACCGGUUCCCCCCCAAAGGUUCGACGAAACCCUAGUCUCCUUCUCUCUCUCUCUCCCCCCCGAUCUUCAUCCUCGACUCUAUGCCUCCGCGUGGCUCCGAAACCCUAAUUCCUCGUCCUAGCUCAUCUUCUCCUACAAGCCCUAGUCGAGGUACCUCUCCCUCUCCCCAAUUGCAACAAAUUUUUAAUACUGGUCCCAAUCCCCAAUUGGAACCAAUUUUGUGACGACGAACGCGGAUGGGGAUCUUUAUUUGCACUCAGUAUGAUGCUUUCUCUUUGAUUCUUCAUUGCGUUGUAGUUAUUUUCCAACAACAAUAUCUUACCUUAUUCUGUGUGUAGUUGUGGCAUUUUUUACAAGGGGUUGUGAAUUUGGGGCAACUUUAGUAGACAACAAGUUCCUAUAUUGAUCUAAAACAUAGGUGUUGAGUUAAUCCUGUAAUCUGUUUGACUUAGGCUAUAAACUAUUCAUUGUUUAAAUAUGCCUUAUUACAUGUCUUCUGUAAAUCGACCGUGACGGCAUAUAAUAAUCGAACCAGCAUUCAGUUAUUUAAGUUCUACCUUUAUAUUCUUUGCACGCUUGCUUGUAUAUUAAAUUUACGAGGACUUGAAAUUUUUGCUCAAGGUAACAUGUCGCAGAGCAAAGCAUCAAUUGGUCUAUCAUGGGCUCCCAAGGUGCCUAUCUUCUCUAAAAAAGCAAAAGAAAGCGCAGGAAAGUUGCAAAUAAAAGAACCCACUUGGACGCCCGAGAACGAGCUUGUAGAUGGAUUGUUUGUUCCUCCGAGGGACCCAAGAAAGUUGAAUAAGCUGAUGAAGAAAAGUUUGAAAGAUACCGCUGGUGCGAGUUGGUAAGCGGAUGUCAAAUGAAUUCUAGUUUUGCAUCUGACCUGUUCGUGUCUUUCUGAUAAUUAAUUAUCUUAUAGGUUCGACAUGCCUGCCCCGACUAUCACCCCUGAAUUAAAGAAGGAUCUAGAGAUUCUCAAGGUGUGCUAUUUUGCCGCCUUGCUGUUAUCAGUUUCCAUAAUAGUUUGAUUUAGUUCAAAAUUUAAACAAAAUGUCGUUUUUUUUAUGUGGAUGGAAAGAAGCUUCAUUGUGUAACUCGUAAUUUUUUUCCUUUAUGGCAUCGCGAAAUAAUAAUUUCUUGAGUGCUUGUAAACAUGUAGGAGCUUAUAGACUUGUGCAGUAGGGUAGAUUUGAAUUCUCGAUUCUAUGAUUAAGAAGUAGAGUAUAUAAAGUUCUACAUCCUUUUUUUUCCCCUUGAAAUGUCUACAUAUCGUGUUGGUCGAUUUACGACCAGUUUCAUAAGCAAAGUCUCUCGAGCUAUAUUGGUAUUGCAUAUCCUAUGCGUAAUUUUUGGAAUCUUCUAGUGCUAACACUUUCAGACAUUUAGAACAUUUUCUCUGUUAUGUUUUAUGUAAUUAAUACAUAACGAUGAAUGAACUUAUUUCUACUUUAAACUGCCACUGCCUUCAUAUUAUCUUGUUGAAAAUGCGUGACAUUAGAUAAAAUCCUGUUUGUGCUAGAUAUAAUGUAUAAAAGAGAGAUACAUGACUAAUUAUACUGUUGAAAAAGAAUUAUGGUGAUGAGACUGUUCAUGUAUGCUGCAGUUGAGGAGUGUAAUUGACCCCAAAAGGCACUUCAAAAAAGGUGACAAGUCCAAGACCCUUCCCAAGUAUUUUCAGGUAGGCCAUUUUCUUUACUGCGGUAGUGAAAAAGAUCAUUAAAAUUCUACCUAGUUUGUUAGCGAUGACUAAUUUGUUCACAUGUCACAUGUUUAGGUGGGCACAGUUAUUGAACCUGCAUCUGAGUUCUUCUCAGGCAGGCUGACAAAGAAAGAGAGGAAGGCAACAUUGGCCGAUGAAUUGCUAUCUGACCAUAAUCUCAAGGCUUAUAGGUAAGUACUGUCUAUCCAAAUGAGAUCUCUUUAUGGUUCUUCUAGAGUUAGUACUUCUGCUGGACUUCUUGGCUGCUUCCUACUGAGAUGAUCUUUUGGAUGGCGUGGUAUGGCAAUAGAGUCAUUCCUAAGCCCCUUCUGUUCUAUAAUUAUGUGGGUUUAAAUCCCCUUUCGACCUUUUAAUUGGUAUUAGAAGCUCCUCUAAAACUCUGUCACUCAACUGGGAAACCAGUAGUUGCUUUAAUCUCUAUAAAAUAGUAAGUUCUACUAUUCUGGUAUAUUCAUUCCAUCAAAUUGGUUGAUUACUAGGCUACUUCCAAACUACUUCGCUGCUGUGUAUAUAUAUUUUAGAUAAACAUUCUUGUAUCCUUUUAUUAAUUGGCUUUUUUUCGAUGCAAUGCAGGAAACGCAAGGUACAAGAAAUCGAUGAGUCCCGUAAACCUGGUGGUGUUGAGAAGUGGAAGAUCAAGGGUCGCAAUUCCCGAAAAAGGGCCAAAGAUAGAAGGAGAUGAGAUCAUCGUGCCAACUGAUUCAACGUAGAUGCAGGGUAAAGUGGUGAGGAGGGUGCGAGUUGAUCAUUGCUUGAAUUGCGGCAAUACAUUACAAAGCUUUAGAUUCGUAUCGCAUUGAGUGUGUUUCGGUUUGUACAAGGGCCCUAUUUUUGCUGUAUCACACUUCAUUUGUAGCAGAAUAUUCACUUGUUUAACAAAUUUCAGUACUGCGGAACAAAUUGCCAUGCUACAAUGAGCAUCCAUCUGAAGUUCUCUGAAGCUAUUACUUCGUAUUCGCAUUAUUAAUUUAAUUAAACCAUCCUAUUUUGAAUCAGAAGUAAUUGUCCCUUUAGACCUGAAAUUAUAAUAGUUAUUUAUUUAUUUAUUUUUUUCAGAUAGUGAGAGAGAAAGGCAACAAGGUAGCAAGCUAUCCUCAUGUUUUGAAAAAUAAAUUUAGUCAAAGAAUGUAAAACAAUUAGAUUUUAAACUUCCAAUUUUGAAUAUCAAUUAUUAAAUUUUUAGUCAACUAUGUUAGUAAUUAUAAUAGACUUUGGGUGUGCUUUUAUCCGGUUUCGCCAUAAUGUCACACUAGUUUUUACUAUUGAUUUUAUGAGGGAUAAAAGAGAUUACAGAAAUGUUCAAAACUUUUCUUUUGUUAAAAAAAUUGUUUUCAUAUAUGGUCGUGAUUAUAGAAGACAAUAAUUAAAUUUGAAUUCCGAAUUGCACGUUAAUAUUAUUAUAUUAUACAUAUAAAACUGCGACGUGGGUUUCGUCGUGAGAGGAGCAGAAAAAAGUCGGUAGCGAUGCUUUACUUUUAACCGACUCCUUGAAAGUCGGCGGCGAAACAACACUGUGUGCCGAUUUCGUGCUUUGUAUUUCUCCCUCGCCCCAGCGAAGGGCCAGCGAACUCCCGAUGUGAGCUAUGUUCUUCUCCAAAACCCCGCCUUCGCCUCAACCAUGGCGUUGCGUUCCCAAGAUAAGACCCUACCCUCUCUUUAUCCCCCUCUCCAAUGCCUCCUCCUCCGCUUCCUGUUUCCCCCUCGCCAAGAAGAACCCUAGAAGAAUCCUUAUACAAACCACCUCUUCUUACUCCCCCCAAUCUCCUCCUCCUACUCCGACGACACCAUCGGUGGAACGGAACCGAAGAUGGAAGAAGGUGCCCCCCGACAUGGGACCUCCCGUGGGGCCGAGCUUCGUCGAGGACGAGGGAGACGCUGCGGGGGCGGAGGGCUCCUCCUCGGCCCAAGUGGCCCGUGGCCAUGAAGCGGGAGUGGGUGCGCGGGGAUUAGGGUUCCUACGAAGGCGAUCGAUUUGGAGAAAGGUUGUAUCUUUCGUGCCAAGGAAGGUUCGGAGCAUCGUCUUACUCAACGUCCUCAGCGUUAUCUUUGGUACUCGCAUCCUCCUCCCUGUUUUAUCGUCUCUCUCGUCUUUAGAAAUAGAUAUUCGACUAGAAAUUCUUGUGAGGAAUUUUUGUUUCUGGUUGCUUGAACAACAAUGGAGCUCUUACAAUUCUUCUUGGUUUUCGCCUAGUUAGUCAUUAGUAUAUGUAUAUUUGAAUAGGGAUCGUAAAUUAGUUUUUUGGAAUUCUUUGUACUUGACAGUGGAAAAUUUCACUUUUUAAUUGUGUGUUACACUUUUUACAGUUGAAAAUUUUUUGAUUAGAACUGGAUCCCUCCGCCUCCCGAGAAAUUUACAUAAUCGUCCAAUAAUUUUGCUCUUCUGCGACAUUCUGGCAUGAAAUUACUUAAAAAGUUUUGUUGUCAUGUUGUAUGUAAACAACAAAUAAAAUAUACACUUCAAAACCUUCAAUUGAAAAACUAAUUCUGAAGAGAAUCUCCUUUAAUCCUCACUCCGUUCUCCUGACUCUCUUUGUCAGCCAGUAAUAUAUGCGUUGUGAAAGAGGCUGAAGUCAUCACAGAUCCUGCAGUCUUCGCCGUAGUGCGAUUCGCUGUAUCUGCCGUCCCAUUCAUACCUUUUGUAUUAAAGGCGCAUGAGGACAUGCAGAUCCUUACUGCAGGAGUAGAAUUAGGGUUUUGGGUCAGUUUAGGAUACCUUGCUCAGGCUGUUGGAUUACUUACUUCUGAUGCUGGGCGUGCUUCUUUUAUUUCCGCUUUCACGGUAAGCCCUAGUUCUUAUCGGAUUACAUCUUUGACAAUUUUUUAAAUGAAUUUCUAUUUGACACAGUGCAAGCUAAUAAUAUUCUUCGUUGUUAGCUGUUGAGCAGGUAAUCAUUGUGCCGUUGAUAGAUGGCAUCAUUGGAGCUGCUGUGCCAGCCUAUACAUGGGUCGGAGCAUUUGUAUCUCUCAUAGGGGUUGCUAUGCUAGAGUUCACUGGCUCUCCUCCCUGCGUACGUAUGUUUCCAGUGGCUUAAUUGCAAAAUUGCACCAAAUUUAAUUUCACAAUUUUUAAGGCUUGGUGGGUAUGCUAUGUGAAAAGCUCUGAUGGAUAACCGACAAUAAAGAUGUAAUACUUGACCUCACGUUUUGUCUGGUUAUUCCUAGUAUAUUUAUUUGAAUUCUAUUUAUUACCAUUUUUUGCCCGGUGCAAUUGCUAGUGGUAAAUAUGCCUUUAGGCUUUAGAUACCUUACUGUACCGAAUUGUUGGUUCAAGAUUUCAAGUUAAUGAACUUUCUACCUUUUCAGGUUGGUGAUAUUCUAAAUCUUCUCAGUGCUGUAUGUUUUGCAAUUCACAUGCUUAGGACAGAGCAUAUAUCACGAAGUAUUAAGAAAGAAAACUUUCUAACUCUCCUUGGAUGUGAGGUUGGUACCGUGACUUCAAUAUCGUAAUCCUUGUUACGUUGUGCAUCUUCUUUUGAUCUUCUCUUUGUAUGUUGUUGAAUCUCAAACUGAUUUUGUGAAUUUAGGUAAUCAUCGUAGCUUUAUUCUCAACAAUCUGGUUCAUCCUUAAAUGCUUGUUUCAUCAUGUGAAGCGAUGGAGCUUGAGUUCGUUGUCAUGGUCAAAGUUCUUGUGUUGGAUGGUUUCAUUUCCGUGGGUUGCUGCUCUCUACACGGGCAUAUUCUCAACUGGCUUGUGUUUAUGGGCUGAGGUUAGUUCUGCACCCGGUAUCAUGCCAUUUUGUUAUCUUUUACUGUAAAAGUUCCGGUGCAUUGUAUCGUUAAAGUUGUUAAGGAAACUUUUUAUAUUUGUCCCCCUCACAUUUCUAUCUGGAAAGAGAGUGAUAAGAAAUGUUUAUUUUUCGUAAUUUUCACUUUUAUGUCAGUUGAGUGCCAUGCGUGACGUAUCUGCAACUGAAACUGCAAUUAUUUAUGGCUUGGAGCCUGUAUGGGGUGCUGCCUUUGCAUGGUUUCUACUUGGUGAGAGGUGGGGUGUUGUUGGAUGGAUCGGAGCUGCUCUUAUUAUUGGUAGGCUGAUUGAUUUAACAUUUCUCAGCUUUGUAUGUUCUUUCGGUUAGGUCAUGAGAUAUAACGCCGAAUAAUCGGAUAGCCCUUUUACUACUGAAGCUGCUCUCUAGUUAUCUUUUAUCACAUUUCCCAACCCCUUUCUAUGGACUCAAACUUUUUCAUUUUCUUGCCUUUUGAACAUGGUUAAUCUCUCAUGCCUGCAGGUAGUUGCUUGACAGUCCAGAUCCUCGGAUCACUUCCCGAGAUAUGCAAAUGGUACAAAGGCAGCGGCCAAAUGAAUGCUUGAAUGCAUCAAAUACAAAGAGCAGUUCUUUUCGGCUGUUCUCAUUGAUUCUCUACAAAAUGAAGCUGAUGCUCAAAAAAGGUAAGUUGCUUGGUUCAUGAGUAUUUGAUUAGCAUGAUGAUCAGAUAAUCUCAUGGGAUACAGUAAAGGAGGCCGAGAGCAGAAAACUGCAGAGAUUUUGGGGGACGUUCGUGCGUACAUAUCACUUCAUCGACUAUUUGUUUGACCGGAGUUGACUAUGACGAUCUCAAUUUGGAGAACUUCUAACCAUACUCGAGAGAGAUUUUUCAAGCAACUCAAGAGUGGUAUGAAACGGAAAGGAUGGCGGCAACCUGGUAAUAAAUGGUGCGUGAUAAUUCUUCCUCUCAAAGUAAAAACUGUCAAAAAACCUGAAUACAUGAUUCUAAUCCUGGUUGUUGUAUAUUUCAUCUCAGAAUUUGUUGCAUUUUAACCUAUAAUUUGCCAUAUCACAAUCCAUUUUUGUUGUAAAAACUCUUUAUUGUAUAAACUGAUGUUGAAUCAGUGGAAAUUAAAUUGAUCCCUACUUGGAUGUCAGUGCCAGCAACCGCUCCAUAUGCUCUAUUGAAAAUGAAGCUGACUCGCAUAACUCAUCGAAACCGAGGAGAGUUAUAGGCAUCAAAGUCGCAAAUUCGAUUUCUUUGCUGAUUCACAGCAAAUACAGAGAAAUUCAGAGAGCAAAUGUAGAUAAAAUCAUAUUGUAAGUAGGAACAGGACUUAAUAUUGCACUUGCAAACCCUAGCAUUAAGCCUUUUUCCACCCUCAAUUCAAGCAGUCAAAUCCAGAAAUUACUACUUCCCGCUAUUUUAUAGACAUCGGGCAAAAGGAUAUGAAAUUGUCAAAAAACAGUGAAUUUAUCAUGUAAGGAACAAAAUAAAGACGAUAAAAAUACCGAUCUAAUAGUUAUUACUACAGCCCAUGUAAUUGUUCCGGUAACGCAGGCCAUACUGCUCAUACACGGUAUCCCCAUAAUUCACAGCCUUGAUCUCAACCGUCCGUCGCUUGCUAUCCAACUCUUGAACUGCUCCAAAAACAAUCUCAUUUGUAGUUUCGCAGCUUUGCUCAUAAAAAGUUCGCGGACCGGAUGAAUACUGCUUAUGCUGCUGUAGGUGCUGCUGCUGAUGGUACAUUUGCUGCUGCAGCGGCUUCUGCUGCUGUGAAUCGCCUUCCCAGCUGUUUAAAUAAGCCCUUCCAUGCCUAAUAUGGUGCAACUUUUCUGGCUCUUUUGACAUGAAAGCGUAGUUCUUUUUCGGGGUUGGAGUUCUUACCUCCAACGGGGGCGGCAGUUCAUCGUCUGGGAUGACAAAGCUAUCUUGCACUGGCCAAGUUUUUGUUGCCCUCAACUUCUGCUGCUGAUAUAGAUUUACUGCUGGUUUUUUUCUGAAUAUUGCACGGAAAAUUUCUGUUGCUGAUGAUCUGGCUCCGCCGAGAAGCCUUCCUAUUGAGGAAAAGAAGCCUUCUUCAUGUUCCAGUUUCUCUGCUUCAUCGUCGUUGGUGGGGAUUAGCGGUGGUCUUAGAGAUGAUUUCAUUGGUUUUUGGUAUGGAGGCAUGCUUGCUUGAAUCGGAGUUUGAGGUCCCUGCAAGAGAAGUUCAGAGUAACAAAUAGUAUACAUUCGAAAAUAAAGGAAAGAUAUCCCAAAGUUACUAAAUUUCAUCUUACUAGCGCACACUCUAAUGACCACCAAAAGAGUAUCAAUGCCUUGAAUAAAAUCAAGCAACACCAUCAGAAAUGAAAAGUGUAACAUCGAGCAUGAAAUAUGACAAAAACAAAACGUUGCAAAUACAUCCAAUUGAAAUCUAUAGCUUUUGUUUUAGAUAGGCCAUAUUCGCAAACUACUACUCGUGUCUACUAAUCAUUAACUAAAAAAAAAAGGGAAAAGAACAAUUAAUACUUACAUCUUCUGAUGACACAAUCCCUCCAACUCGGCGCUGAAGCAAAGCAAGCAUGUAACCAAAGAAAGCAGCGGCGAGAAGCACUGCAACUCCUGCACGACAUUUCAGAAUUAACUUGAGCAAGUAUAAGUCUCCAUUAUAGGGGAAGAAAGAAGUGUGAGCAAAUUAUCUACCUAGAGGAAAGCCAGUUUCAUAUUGGUAAGCACAGUCUUCGAAAUUAAGCUGAAUCUCUCGGAUUGCCUGGUUUCCUCUAUCAAUAAUUAGAAGGGAGCAGCUACUACCAACAUAAAGAACGUCAAAAUCAUUCGAAAAUUUUGCAUCUUGGCUUGGUCCAUCUACAUGUCCUCCCCUGUUGGACUUUCCUCCAGCGAUGGUUGUAACCCCUUCAUUUACACAGGCAACAAAUACUCAGACCAAAAUCUAUGAAUCCUCCCUUAUACCAAGUGUAAUGAAGUUAACUUUCUCAUCUCGACAAUGGUAGAACAUGGCAAGUUGGUAGUAUGUUAAACCAGACGAAAGAAUACAGUAAGUUUUAACGUAAGCGAAAAACAAAAUAUAUCACAUUGUACAUAGGGAUUAGAAACUGGGCAGUUUCAGCUUACCCGUAUCACUGAUUUUUCUGAUCGCCAAGUUCAAAGUGUCUGCCACAUAAAUAUUUCCUCUAUCGUCCACUGUAAAUCCCUUUGGAUGGUUCAACCUUGCUUCUCGUGAACGCCCAUCAAUAUGACCGGAAUACCCUUCCGGCGAACCAGCAACGAGCUUUGGCCUACUAUCUGCAAUUUGCCAUCUGAUUCACAUGAAGAGACGGGAUUCGAGAGAGACUCAAAUAUGACAAACAGUGAGCUUAAAGCAAGUUAAAAAAACUUGAAAUGGUAUUAACUGAUGUUUCGCCAGCAUUCACAACAAUUUUUUUUAGAUCUCAUAAAUUGUGCUCCUCUCUCUAAUUGGUAUUCCUCUCCCUACCAAACCUUUAUCUUAGUAGGAGACAACAAUGCUGUUAUCAGUGUCAGGAUCAUUAAGUUUAUCCUUCAUAGCGCCUUAAUCAACAAAAGUAUAAUCAGGAAAGAGCUAAUAUAUUCAGGUAACAUGUUCAUUAGUUGUAAAAUACAUAAUUCCAAGGAAAAAGACAAGAUUUGAAGGUACCAUACUUUGGAUCUUGUGGAAGUUAAGACAAAGAACUAACAAUUUCAUCUGUCAUUUUAACAAGAAGACUCGACAAGAUAAAUUUUCAGUCCACUUCAACCAAUUAUACGGUAGAUUCAAAGAAACUAUACAUCAAACAUUCACAAAACUGGGGAAUGACACAAUGGUGGAUCCCUAACCCAUCAAACGACAAGUAAAUUUACACAACAGAGUACACAUUCUUUCUAAAAUUAAAAGAAAAUACCAAAAUGUGGCUUAAAUGUAAUGAAUAAAAAUGGCAUAAAUCACGCAAAUUUGAGAACAGUUGAGUCGAUUUAGGGCACGAAUUUCACUCACAACUAGACAACGGCAGAGAAAUCCUGUAGAUGUUGCUGUUCACCGAAUCGAGAACGAGGAGCUCCCCAUUCUGCGUCGCCUCCACCGCGUAGGGCUCGAUCCCGAGCUUACUCCCGUCGAACACUGUCUCCACCGUGUACCCGCCCUCGAAUUUCACCGUCGAUCGCCCCGCGAUCGCUGGGGGAAAAAGGAAAAAAAAAAAAANGUCAAAGAUGUAAUCCGAUAAGAAAUAAUUCAAAAGAAUGCACAAAAAUCAAAUCCUAGAUGGAUACAACAACUGCAUCAAUUAUGAAAUCCAAACUAUCCACGAAAUUAAUCUGAAUAGUAUAGAUAAAUUAAAUCCUAGAUGGAUACAUAAUAAAUAUUCAGGAUUUAAAAAAAAAAGAAAAAGAAAAAUUAUGAUUAAGGUUUUUCGUUUCCAAAAACUUUCCUUCUCGAUCUAUAGACGAUCGCGACUCAAUUAGCUUCCUCUAUCGAAAAAGUCAUUCGAUUAGCUUCUUCUUCCAAAAUCCAAAGAGAUCGACGUAGAAAGAAACCCUAGAAGUGAUUCGACAUUAAGGAUGGAGAUGGAGCUCCGGCAACACUAAAAACGAAAUAUUUUAGAUGUUAAUUUUUAAUAUUUAAUAUUUAAGUUGGAUGAAAUGAAAAAAAUUCAAAAUAGUGUACGUGAAUCAAAUCCUGGAUAGAUACAACAACUGUGUCAAUUAUGAAAUCCAAACUAUCCGUACAAUUAAUCCGAAUAAUAUAGAUAUAAAUCAAAUCAUAAAUAAUUGGGAUUUAGAAAAAGAAAAAAAAAAUUGUGAUUAGGGUUUUGAUCCAUUUUCAAAAACUUACCCGCUCGAUUCGUCCAUGAUCGCGGUCCAGCUUCCUCUACCGAGAAAGUCAUUUGAAUGGUUUCUUUUUCCAAAAAUCCAUAGAGAUCGUUUGAUUAGCUUUUUCUUCCAAAAAGCCGAAGAGAUCGAUGUAGAAAGAAACCCUAGAAGCAAAUCGAGGCCAAGGAUGAAGAUGGAGCUUAGGCAACACCGAAAAAAAAAAAAAAACGGUAGAAAUGAUGAGACAGAGAAGAGGAGUAGGGGCGGAAGGGAUGCAAUAUGAAAAGGCGGAGGGACUGACAGCUUAAACAAAAAAACAGGUGAGAUAGAAGGCGGAGGGGUGGACGGGAUGUAGAUUAGGGGAGAAGCAACCAUAUGAGAAUAUUAAACGGCUCCUUGGGAGGAAGAGGGUAGCUGACAGGUGGGUCCCACCGCCUAUAAUUUUAAGUAAAAUAAUGCUGACAGGUAGGCUCCACAGACCUAAAAUUAUGUUAUGCUUGCCACGUGGACUAAUUAUGGGGUUUAAUAUAAGUUAAUUAAUAGAAGUUAAUAGAUGUAACUAGCAAAAAUAUUUAUAGCUACAGUGCUCUCAAAAAAUAUGCCCAUAUAUAUGGCAACAAACAACAUGCAUGCAUAUAUAGGAUCCGGCUACUAUCCUAUUAAUAAGAUUGGAACCCUUGUCCUAUCAAGUCGAUUUGAAUGAUCGGAACUUCAAAUUGAUAAUCGGCACCGUUGAGGUUGAUCUACACAAUUAGAAAUGUUUAGAAACCAAAGUUUGUAUUAUUUAAAAAUUAUUAUCAAGUUCAUCUUAAGAGUUGAAAAAUGAACGGUCAUAAAUGAAUAACCUUUUUAAAAUAGAGGUUAGACUUUCUCAGUUCGCAAUCAGAGUUAUCAAACAUUAUCUAAAUAGUAUAAAGAAUUUUCUAUCAAAAAUUCAAGCAAAAAUAGUAUAAAGAUUUUCUCAAAAUUUAGAAACCAAAUUUUGUAUAUAUAUAUAUAGUUACUACAACAAACACAUAUAAUCCAUUACAAUAUCAUAAUAANUAUUAAAAGUAUUUGGAAACUAAAUUUCAUAAUUUUUCGACAUGAUUUGGCUAGUGAUCAAAAGGUCUCAAAAUGGACAAUUUUAAUCGUAGAUGUGAUGCCUUUGUGAAUUUAACGGUGUAAAACAAUACAAAUCUGAUGAAAUUUUCAUAGAAAAUUUUUUUCACUAUUUAGAGUAAGAUCAGUACAUCUGAUCUUAAAUUUAAAUCAUUUAUCAUCAUUUUUUAUGAAAUUUUUAUUUUCAACCGUUCAUUUUUAGACUAUUCGUUUGAUAGGUAAAUGAUACCAAAAAAUUAUGAAAUUUAGUUUCCAAGUACUUUCAAUAAUGUAGAUCAAGUCUAACGGAGCCGAUCGUCGAUUUGGAAGCCACAUCAUUGAAAACAACUUGGUAGCACAGAGACUUCCAUGCUACCGAUAGUAUACCAGCCUACCUCUUUCUCUCUCUCUCUCUCUCUAUAUAUAUAUAGAAGAUGUUGUUUUUAAUUCCCUCUCUACAUUUACCUAUAGUUCGUGACUGGGAUUUGAGGCUUGAUAUAAGUGUGGAAGACGAUGCUCUCGUCUUCUCCGACGAGGCAAACUCGCGCGCAGAGGUCUAACGAGCCGUCGCUUCCCCCGCCGACCAUUUUGCAGGCCAAAGCGACCACCUGCAAGCCUUGCGUGCGCCCGUAAUUGUCCGUCGAGCUCUGCAAACUCAUCCUCGACAUUCGAGAGAUGAAACCCUGAAAGAAAAUUUCAAAAUCUCAUACCAGAUCAUUAAUAUGAUGAGCUAUUCACUGCAUGAAACUAUAUAUAAUUUCUUUUUAUCACUUAGGCUAGUUAUUGAUCUUGUGUUACCCUUGACAAUGUUAUGUAGGUUUUCACCGGAGCUACAGUUUUUUUUUUUUUUUUUUAACAGAUAAUUAGAUGAGUGCAAGUAAGUUUUUAAUUAACUCUUAAUUUAUAUGUAGCAAAAGAAACAGCUUAAUUAAAAGAAUUAAGGCUCUUAAGAUCAACAUAUACUGAUCUCAUAUUAAUUUGAUACCGAAUUUACUGAAGUGCGGGAAUAUUGGCAUGCAGUGCGAUGAGCGCGAAGGGCGCUCGAGCUGUCGAAGAUGUUCAAGCACAAGUUGCACCCGCGAAUGCCGAAAAUCCUCGCACAGUCGACCUUCGGAAGUGGUCCUUGAGAUAAAGAGAAAAAGGGUAUGUAUAUAUAUACAUUGAUAUAUAAAUCCAUAUGGAAUAAAGGGAAAGAAGGAAUUGUGCAUAGCUUUUUUUUUUUCACAACUUUGUGAUUCUAUCUUACCUAUGAGAUGUUCUCUGAGUGACUCAAAUGAUCUACAAUGUUUUUGGCAUACCCCACACUUGGGCUCAUGGGAUGAGUGGAAUGAGACUCUCAUGUGUUCUACUAAGUGCUCCAUCUUGUUGUAUUGCCUAAAACAUGCUGCACAUUUGUUCCUGUGUAUAAAAAAUAAAAGAAAAAAAGAAAAAAAAAAGUCACUUCAAGUAUUAAUUAUUCUUCCUAUAUAAUCUAUAUGACUAUAUGUACACUGUAUUCUUUUUCAUGUUGUUAUAUAUACGCUUUUUCUAUAUAACAUUAUGAGUAGGUUAUUAUGGCAUUCAUAUGUGUAUUAUUACUAAGGUCUCAAAGAUUAGGUAGUGAUGAUGCAUGCAUUAAUUUGAAUAUGUUGGGAUAUUCACUGAGAUCAAUUCCUCCUUCAUCUCAAGUUUAAUAUUCUCAUCAAAUUACUCCUUAGAUGAGGUGAUAAUUAAAUAGAAAUUGAUUAUUACAAUGCAUUUUUUGUCAAAAUAACCUCAAUUAGCCAGGGAAAGACAAAUAAACAAGAUAUAUAAUUAAGUGAUCAAAAUAUGCAACAAGGCAAUUAAGUUCGCAAGGCAUCAUGAGUCUAUAACAAAAAUAUAUAGUGAACUCGAUUUAGGCUCAUGACUUGCGAACUGAGAACGAGGGGGUGGAAAAUAUUGCUUCCAAAAUAAGUAUUAUUCCACAUUAUAUCCAGUGUUAUACCUUUUACCUUUUUUGUGUGAUUCAUAUCGUGUGCAUGUAAACAGAUCUACAAAUUAACAAGCACUCAAUUGUUGAAGCACUUGCUUUGCAAUUUGUAUGCAACAUUUCAUGCACAUAAUAUCUGUAUAAGUACAAAAAUAAUAACAGUUUGAUAUAUAGAAAGAGGGAGACCUAAAGAGAGAGAGAGAUCCACAGAGACAGUUUGAUAUAUAGAAAGAGGGAGACCUAAAGAGAGAGAGAUCCACAGAGAGAGAGAGAGAGAGAGAGAGAGAGAGAGAGAGAGAGAGAGAGAUGGCUAAGAAAACUAUAUGUUACCUAAGAUUUUCCGAGGAGCCAUCCAUUAUCUCUCUAAGUGAAAUAUCACUAGCUAGGGGAUAGGAUAUACAAGCUUGGUGAUAAUAAGUGGGUGUGGGUGUGGGUAUUUAUAUGCAAUGGUUGGGUAGUUAAUAUGUUAUGACCAUAUAUAUAUCAUGAUUCAUGAAAGAUGUAGCUAGUUUGUUAAAUACAAAAAAUAUCAAAAAAUAUCAAAAAGUAAAUCGAUAAAGAAAGAAGAAAAAUAAUGCACGCAGAUAAUUAAUUUACAUAGUUUGGCUACCGGCAUGCAUCUACAUGUGAAAAUGGAGCGAGAACUUUUAUUAUCAUCGAGACUACUGUAGUAUAAAACGAUCCCUCUCUUACAAAUUAUGAUAUAAUGAAUGUCUAUAUGUUUUUUGGUUAAUGCAAAAUUUUGAUAAAUUAAGUUAGUCUUAUUUUGUUUAUCAAUCAAUCUAGGUGAGUAAUUUUUAUUAAUCCAAAGAGAGACAAAAAUGAAGUAUAGAUGAGCAUGGAUCUGUUUCAUUGAAUAUUACCCAAUCCCAUUUAGUAUAUGUACCUGAUAACUUAGAAUUAUAUGGUACAUUAAUAUCCACACGUACAUAAACACAUGCAUUAUUCUGAAAAGAGAAAUACAUAUACAUGUGCAAAGCUACUCAAGCAGAGCCUACUUAAUUGCACCCUUUACUUGAGUUGUUUUUGUUUGUCCAUGUACAAAUUUAAGUUGUUGUUGCUGGGGUCUCUCUCUCUCUCUCUCUCUCUCUCUCUCUCUCUCUCUUGUGUGUGUGAUGUGUGUGUGUGUGUGUGUGUGAGGGAUCUUGAAAAGGAUAUGAUCAGGCUGUGAAAAUUAGAGGAAUUUGCUUAUGGAUUCCUGAGAAUUUCUUUCCAAUCUUUUUGACUGGAAAUGACUGGCUUUGCUUACUAUAUGUAGUCGCUACUAGAUUCUUGUUAUCUUAAAAAAGUGAGAUACCCUAGUCAAAAAGAAGAGGUUGAAGGAUCCGAAUAUGUAACCAGGCCAAUAAGGUACAAGGGAUUUAUUACUCUCUCUCUCUCUCUCUCCAAACUCAAACAAUGAGAUGAGCUUAUUGGUUCUUAUAUACGCUGGAGUCAAAAGGCUCUCUCUUUUGUGCACUCCUAACUAUUAUCACAUACUAUUAUCACAUACACCGUCCUUUCCUAGUUGCAUGUGACAAGAUUCAGUGGCGAGGGUCAGCAUUCUAUCAUGUGGUGGGAGGCUGGGUUGGGCCGAGACAUGUUCGAAGUGACGUGACGCUGGAUGGACCAAAUCACAAUCGAGACCUAUGGGCGCUAUGUCUGUAUGCUUUAAGUGAAUUAAUUGUGUAUUUCUGAUAACUCGAGACCAAUUUCAGUUUCUAAUGCGACCUUUUAAUAUCAUAUUCGAGUGCACGAGGCUCCUGUCAUUUUCUAGCUCAAAAAGUAAGAUAACAUAGUUCUGAAAUGACAACACUUAUUUGGCAUUCAGAAUUGGAUGUGAUAUGUUAAAUGAGAGAGCAAUGUUGGAUCAGAAGAGUUAAUUAACAAUUCAAACACUAUAACAAAAUAUAUUUAAUUUAGACCACGCUUUACUCUAGCGUCUUCAAUAUUUGACAUGUGCCGACACUAUAUAUGAUUAAGUAUCGCCAAUAAACAUAUUUUUACCAAAUGCUGAUAAAAAUUUUCCGACGAUAUAUUAAAACGUUGAUAUAUUUAUCUCGACAUGUUUACAUCCAUGGGUUAGAACGUAGUCGAGAUUUUUAUUAUAAUUUAAGUUUUGUACAAAAUAUGUCUCUCUCAUAAAAUUUUAGUUCCAAAAAGUACACUCGUACUCCUUAUCUAUCAUGCUAAAUCAAUGGAAUAAAUUGUACAUUUAUAAUAAUGGUGAAAUUCUAACACAACGAGAAACACAAAUCUACUAAGACUAGGAAUAAUCUCAAUAAAAUAAUAUUAAUGAAAUAAACAAAAUAAAAUAGAGUUAGAAAACCUUGCAGCUCGAGAAUUCGAGACAUGCAUACUGAACAUACUUAUAUACUAGCUAGGGUGCUUCUGUUGUAGGCAUAAAUAAAGUGGAGAUACUUAUUAGAAAUGAUCAUAAGUUUUAUUGCGCAUAGAAACCUUGUGAGAGAUUCCUCAUUAAUUACAUUCUAAUAUGUUUAUUUAUACUAUUACAAAGAACAAUUUUUUCUCCGAAUUCUCUACGAUAUAUCUAGGCUCAAAUUUUCACCUAUCAUGCAUGUACUUGAAGAAGACGAGGAAUUGAAGGAAUAAGAAUUGGAUGAGCUAGCAUGCAAUUGGAGGACGCUUUAAUUCUCCUCAUAGAUUCUUUUCAACUUAUUAAAGCAAAAGAACAUCCAUGUAGAUUUUGGCGCCAUAUAUAACGCAAACCAACCUUAGUAAAACAAAGGAAAUGGCGUCGAUAAGCGGACAAAAAUACGGUAAAAAAGCAUUGGAGGAAAGAAGAAAAGAGGAGGAUCUUGGAUAAAAGAACACGAGCUGAUUAUUCCCUUCACCUUCACAGUUUCAAUUGUUCUAAUCCAUGUGAAUAAAGUUGUGGCCAUUCAUCAGCAGAGAUGAGACUUCAUUGAGUGCUACUCCACCAAGUUGUGGAUUCACCACUAGUAAGCUCAUGAGAUAUGCCCUCAAUGGCUCCAUCACUAUUUUCACAUCUCUCUCUCUCUCUCUCUCUCUCUCUCUCUCUCUCUCUCUCUUUGUGUGUGAGCAUGCGCAUGCACGUGUGUACGCACUCUCUCCCUCUUUCUACGUCUCUCUGUAUGCGUACGUGUGUGUGCAUGCGUGUGCGUGCACGCACAUGCAUCUCUCUCUCUCUCUAUAUAUAUAUAUGUAUGUGUGUGCAUGAGUGUGGGCACGCGUAUGUGUGCACACACACACACGCACUCUCUCUCUCUCUCUCUUCUCCUUCUCUCUCUUUGUGUGCGUGUGCGUGUGUACGAGGUACCAUGUAACAAAUACAACAUUGAUCUCUAGUGAUUUUAUACUAGUGUAGAAUUAAUGUAACUUAACCCCCAACACCAUAAGAAACUCUUCUAGAUCUACAACAUGAAUCCACACCAUGUGUGAUUGCAAAUCCAAACCAGCUGUUAAAAAAUAAGCUAUAUAUGAACAUUGUUAACAAAUUAAAUUGUGAUAAUUAGUUAUAUUUGAUAUAUACUAUUUGGUUAAGUUUGUGAUCUACGAGGGUAACCACAUACUAUAUAUAUGUGAACAUUAUAAACAAAAAAAAUUUCCUCAGACUACGUACGAACUCCAUUUAUUUCAUCUAAAUUGAAUUUUUUUCGCUAGUGAACUUAAGUUCACAUUGCGUUGUUGUGAUUGAACGCGACCUACAUUAGACUUUGAAGAGAAUUUUGACCAAAGAACUUCAACAAUAUUACCAAUCUACUAUUCUUUUUCUUUUGCUAUGUGUCGCCUUCGAUAUUGACAUUAAGGAAGAAUAGCUCUCCUUGGAGUGUGCGACACGAGCCAUUAAUAUUACAAUCAUAGAAAUGCUUCAACUACCUUAGAAAAUUCUACAAAUUGCAGUUGAUAAGUCAAAUUUUCUUUUAUUAAAUCAAAAAACAAGUUGAAUCACAAGUUUAAAAGGUAAAACGAAUUCUCAACCGACACGUCAAAAAUUAAUCUAACUCAUUAUUUGUCAAAUAAGCCUGAGAAUUGAGAGCACAAAAGUUAUGAUAAAGUUAAGUUAUUAGGCAAGAGAGAGUCCACUUAUUUCCAAGUUAUUCAAAAACUUAACUCUUAGGUUUAUUGGGUUGUUAGGCUUUUAUAUAUUGGGCUUGGGCCUAGAAGAUUUACACUCUAAAAUUCCUUACCUUAAUUUCCUUUAAUUGAGGAUUAAGAUUAAGAGUAUGAAUAGUUGUUGCAAUAAAAACCCUCAAAAAUGAAGAGUUAAUUGACCUCUUUUUUUUUAGCUAGAAUACUUCAAAUACAUGGGUGCAAUUAUGAUGGAUAUACUUCAAAUAAAUGGGUGUAACUAUGAUGGAUAUGCAAGUGUGUGUGUGUUAUAUAUAUAUAUAUAGAAUUGAGCUCCUAUACUUUUAAAAGUACCAAGUUAUUACUGACCGUCCCUAGAGCAAGUGGCAAAGGGCUUGGUGGUUGGUACCGGAGACCGAAGUUCGAAUCCUGGUUGAUUCACAUUUUCAGCUAAGUUUAUUUCUAAAUGAAAUAAACGAAGCGGAUAGCGUGCUAUCUAUCUCUCUCAAAAAAAAAAAAAAAAGUACCAAGUCAUUGGUGCUUGUAAGUUUUCGGCCUUUGGAUUAAGGAAUGUGCAGUUAGGAUGAUGUGGGCCCUCUAGGGUUGAGUGAGUGGUUGGUUGAAUAGUAUAAUAUAACAGGUGAAAAUGAUCAAAGGUAUAGAUCUAACGGUAAAAAAUUUACAAACACCAAGUGCUUGGUGCUUUUACAAGUAUCAUAAUCGCAUUCAAUUUUUAUGAUUUUCAUGAUAAAUUGCCUAUAUAGUGGUUGCGAAGGUUUAAUUGUAGGUUUUGUAGGAUUCAGAAAGAGCAUUCUUGUGAGAGAAAACUAUAUAUAAUACCAUAAAUUAAGAUGUUUUACUUCUCGAUCAAAACCAUUGCAUAACAUGGCAAAUUUUCGGGAACAAAACAUGUUUUUUACUUUUUACUUUUUACUUUGCAAAACAUGUUUUACUUCUCAAAACCUUUGCAAAACAUGUUUUUUACUUUUUUAUCAAUUAAUCGAGAAACUAUAUUUCAUCAUUGAACAUUGUAUAAUUAGUUUACUAAUUUGACCUAAAAGAGAGAAAGCCAGUGACUAAGAUUAUCCUUAAACAAGAUUCAAUAAUAUGGAGAACAAUUGAUCAAUAUUUGCUAAAAUAAGAAAGCAAAAAUUAAAAAAAAAAAAACGAAACACAAAAAAAAACAAAAACAAAAACAAAAAAAAAGGAGAUGAGUGAACCAAAUGUUUUACUCCAUGCUAAUCUAAACUAAUUUAUUGCACCUGAUAUAGGGAGAUAUAUGUCGACAAUGCUCGAAUUCUCCGUUAUAUUAGUUAAUACUAGCUAUUUAAAUUAGACUCUUACCUUACACGCGAAUGAGGAUGAUAAGACUAUUCCUGUAACUAUGUGCUUAAAAAAAAUAAAAAAGAAGAAAAAGAAAUAAAGGUAUAUAUAUGUAUUUAUUAGUAAAUGACAAGAUUCAAAUUGCAUUCAUAUAUAUAUAUAUAUAUAGGUAUAUUUUGGUCCAUCCAAAGCAAAGUAUUUUGUAGUGAUGUGAAGAGUAGGUAGUGAGCUUUUCAAGAGACUACCUCUCCAUCUAUUUUAAAGCCAUCUAGUGAUAAAGAUGCCAUCUAAAGAGAAAAGUAUUAAUGGCUAUAUAUAUAUAUAUAUUCCAUGCUUGUUGUAGCUCCUCAAUCACUUUCCCACCAACCAAUUUAUCAUUUUACUUUUGGUAUCUCCCCCAUCAAAUUAAACCUACUAGCUAUAUAUAUAGCAACCUAAUGCAUCUAAAUAUCAAGGACAAAUCAUCUAUAAAUACAAAAAGAUCCUCCAUUUAAUUAAUUAUCUUCUCACUACAUAUGCAUUAAUACAAUUCAUUUGGCCCCUCAUCAGUUGAUAACAAGUGUACAAAGUUGCCUAAUUCUUCUUUAGGUAUUUGGUACACUCGUAGAAGCCAACAACAACACAAUCAUGGAGUAGGUUGAUCGAAGAAACCUCGCAAACGCAAAGCAGAUAAGCGACAAAUUAAAUAUUGACAUGAAAUAAAUCAGAAAUCAUAUAUAUGUAUUAACUCAUAUAACAAGGAUUAAUGCAUGGUAAAUAAUUCUAUGCUAUUUCCAUGCUACUUGGAGAAGCAAUUAAUUUAUACAUAUCUUAUAAUGUCCAUCAAAAUUGAUCAGCUUCUACAUAUACCUCGUAGCGGAAUGAGUCUUGUGCACCUAGUAAUCCCUUUUUAAUAAAAAUAAUAUUCUUAGAAUUAAUUACAAACUGAUCUGAACUUUCAGAAUUAUUAUAAUUAAUUAAUUAUAUAAGUCCCACAACCCAAAUUAAUUAGUUGACUAAAUAUUAACGCAUCGCUAUGGUAAAAUCGAUAAAUUAUCUUAAAUUAAAUAUUGACCGAUCAUCAAUCACAACACUACCACUGUACCACAUCACUUGUUAAUAAUAUAACAAUAUAUCCUAACAUUCUUGCUUAAUGCUGGCUUAUACAAUUUCAUGUACCAUUCAUUUAAACUAAUUAAAGUUAUAUCUUUUUUCAAAAAAGAAAAUUUGAAUUAAAUGCCCAUUGUCAUAAACUAAAGAUAUAUAUAUAUACAUGGUAUGGGACUAUCACUUCUUUUUCAUAAGCUUAGUUUGGUCCAUAUAUAUAUAUAUAAACUUGCACUGUACAAACUUGGUCAUUUUUUUUCCCCCACUCCUACUUGGAAUCCUAAGUCCUCUAUAUAUAAAGCAUUUUGCAAGAUAAAAUCAACUUUAAUAUACAAGAUUUUGCAAGAUGUUUGCAUUUUUUUAUUUUAUUUUAUUUUUUUCCUUCCUUUUCGUUUGGUAUGGUUCGGAGGUCCCUUUACCUCACUCUUGUAGCUUAAUUCAUUUUUUUAAUGAAUAAAACAGGUAGCGUGCUACUUUUCUGUCAAAAAAAAAAUUAUACAAGAUUGAGGACACAUGAGAAUAAAAAUAUACAAGUAAUUGAACACUGAUGAGUUUAUAAGCACAUGUGGCAAUGACAAGUGCUGUGGACGUGUCUAUGUUGUUCAACAUUUAUUUUGGAAUGAGCUCCAUUAGAGCAUAAAUAUGGUAUGCAAAAACUAUAUAUAUAUAUUAGUGUGACACUACUAAUUUGCAUCUUAAAUAUUAACAAAUAAAAAUAAAGCACAAUUAAAGUGGGAUUAGUUCAGCUUUGCUUUUCAACUAGAUGUAAGCUAGCUUGACUUGGUUUCGAAGCGAACUUCUCUACUUUAUUCAAACGUUAUAGUCGACAUUUUAAAAAUAGAUAAUAAUUAAUAAACCAAAAUUUUACUCGAGCCCAUAAAAUUUUCUCUAUAUAUAGCACAAUAUAUAUAUAUAUAUAUAGAGAGAGAGAGAGAGAGAGCUAGACUGGUAUACUAUCGAUAGCACGGAGGCCUCCGUGCUACCAAAUUGUUUUCAAUGAUGCGGCUUUCAAAUCGACGAUCGGCUCCGUUAAACUUGAUCUACACUAUUAAAAAUAUUUAGAAACUAAAUUUCAUAAUUUUUCGCCAUCAUUUGGCUAGUGAUCAAAAGGUCUCAAAAUUGACAAUUUUAAUGAUAGAUAUGAUGCGUUUGUGAAUUUAAUAGUGUAAAGCAAUUCAAAUCUGAUGAAAUUUUUUUAGAAAUUUUUUUUCACUAUUUAGAGUAAGAUCAGUACCUCUGAUUUUAAAUUCAAGUCUUUUAUCAUCAUUUUUUAGGAGAUUUUUAUUUUCAGCCGUUUAUUUUUAGACUACUCGUUUGAUAGAUAAAUGAUGCCGAAAAUUUAUGAAAUUUAGUUUCCAAAUACCUUCAAUAGUAUAGAUCAAGUCUAACGAAGCCGAUCGUCGAUUUGGAAGCUGCAUCAUUAAAAACAACUUGGUAGCAUAUAUAUAUAUAUAUAUAUAUAUAUAUAUAUAUAAUCCAAAUUAAUUUAAAUAACACUUUUUAAGAUAUUUUCUCAUUAAAUGCAGAAAAUAAUGCUCUUUAGCUAAUAAAUUUUUUAAAAAAAGAAUCAUAAAGGAUAAAGCAUUAAAAAGAAUUUCUCUUUAAAAGAGGCCACAAAAAAAAUAUGUUCCACCAAUCAACAACGGUACGAAUCAAUAAGUUAUUAAACGAGGAGAGUGUGUUACAAUAAUAGAAAUUUAGGGGUGGGAAAAAAAAGAAAAAUUAAAUUAAUUGGACGAUUUUGCCCUUGUCUUGUUGACGACGACGCGGCAACCGUUGGGGGGCAAUUUCGUCAAAACAAGUUUCAUAACGUACUAGCUGUUGCCACCCAAAAGGUGGGCCCAUCCAACCAAUCGGAAUAUAUAGGCUGAUAAACACACCCCCUCUUUUUGUGCCGUAUACGCAUCGGAGGCCCGAGGCUUUCCGACUCCGCGGCUCAUUUCGGCGUGCUUUUGUGGAAAAAGGGUGUGGAAAUAUCACGCUUUAUUCGAAAGUGAAUAUGCGCGUCCCUUUCGCACGCGACACAGCACCAAACACGGGUGCCGUACGUUUAGCAAAACGCCCUCGGAGUUUUCGUUUAUUUACUAAAAUGCCAUCGCACGGGCUCCCCAAUCUCAGCCGUCCAUCUACUGAUUAGCCCGUCCCCGGUGCACGAAUCUCAAAGUUGCUUCGGAUGCCCAGCCUGGAAUCACGGGCGCAGUUCCCCCUCGGUUGCCAGCUGGCAAAAUGAACUGAGCGGAGAAACCAUUCGCUAGACCCGGUCCACCGUGAACCAACUUUUUCGGAAAAUUACUCUAUUAUUUCUAUCGACCUACGACAUGCACCGAAAACUCGUAAUCAGAUGAUAAGUUAUCUUUGCAUCGACCUCGAAAUCAGAGGUUGAAGAUCUUUAUUAUAUGCUUAAAUUUAGAACUCAUCGGCAUCGAAAUCAGAGGCUGAAAAUCGAGUUUACAUUAACUUUAUAGUUGUUAUGAAAUUUAAAAUCUAAAAGAUUCAAAUAACCUAAAUUAUAAUAUGGACAAUUGCUUAUAUACUUCUGAAAAGUUCUCGACUUUCUAAUUUACUCUUCUUAGAAGGCUAAUAUUGAAAAUACCAUUUUUACGUUCUAACCUAUUUCUAAUAUACCCCUAUAGUUAAAAUCUGUUAAUGAAUUCUGUUAUCUCUGUAAAAUUACUAUUUUGCCCUUUCAAAUAUACCCUUAUACUAUCACCGCCCUUAAGUUAGUGACACAAAAAGUAUUUUGCUUUUUGGUCUUUUCAAAUAUACUCUUCUACUAUCACUGAUAUUUAACUCACCUUUAAUCCAAGUUAACUUAACAGGUGGUAACUAUAGGAGUAUUUUAGAAUAACAGAAGAUAUAAGGGAUAUAUUGGAAAGAACAAAAAAUAGAAAUAAAUAAAAUAUUUUCAAACUUUUGAAGGGUAUAUAGAUAAUUAUCCCAUUAUAAUAAUACCCUAUUAUAAAAAAUAAUGCGAAAGUUAUAUAUAAAUAUAAAUAUUUAAAUGUUUAAAUAUGUAAGCAAGGAGGCCACAGGGAAUUUUGGGCAUUUAAAUGUGGGCCGUCAGAUUUACGUGGGGCCCACAUGAGAAUCAACCGAUCGGAUUAGGAGCAGCUCAUCGGCCACCGUCUCCCAACCGUCCGAUUCUAGCGGUGGGGCCCGCACGGAGUGGGACUUCCCGCCCAAUUUUCCCGGGGUUUUGGGAUCACGACACCCCCGAGAGCUCACCCUCAAAACAAAAUAUAAGUGAAAAAAAAUAUAUGAAGAGAAAUACAAUUAUUAUUAUUAUUAUUAUUUGGACAUAAUAACAUGUAAAUGAUAUAUUUCACCCACACAAUUAUUUCUAGGUUGAUAAAAUGUUUAGUUCAAACAUAUUCAAUUUAUUUUCAAAAGUAAUAGCACGUCUGUACAGAUCUUGUUCGUUCGAUUGAGAUAUAUAAUUUUUUUUCUUUGCAUUCUAUUGAAAUAGUAGAAUAUAUUUGUUUAUGUCCAAAAUCUAUAAAUAGAAUAAUGAAUAGUAUUUGAAAAUCGGAUAAACUUAGUAUAAUUACAUACAUAUCCUUAUAAAUAUAGUGAAUGACAAAUAUAUUUUUAUAAAGUUCAACUAUCAUAUAUUGUUCCUAUAAAAGUUAUGAUAUUUUCAAAUAUGUUCCUCUAAUUUGUUACCGUUAGAGAGUUGUUUAUAUUUUUAAUUUUUGUCAUCACAAAUAUGUCUCUCUAAAAAUCAUAACAGUACAAUAUAAGAGAGAUAAAAAUAUUAAAAAUUAACGAAAGUUAAGUAUUUAACUUAUGAUUAACAAAAUUUUUCUAACGGAUUCUGACGACAGAGAUAUAUUUGAAAACAUCAGGACUUUUACAAAAACAAUAUAUGAAAGUUAAAUUUUGUAGAGAUAUAUUUGUCAUUCAUUAUAUUUGUAAAAAUCUGUAUGAAAGUAACCUUUUUAAAGAUUAGUCAAAUACAAAAAAAGAUUUUUUUUUGUUGUGAGGGGUGGGCAUUUAUGUAAUUUGAUUUUGCAUAAGGGGCAGUGGCACACUUAACAAUUAUUAUUUAUUCAUUUAUUUAUUUAUGCAAAAUAUUAAAUUGGUGCAUUUAUGACACACCCACAAUCUCAAUGAAAGGGACACACACCAUCAGCUUUUGGUUCCAUUUAUUAAGUUUUUCUAUGGCCAAUUUGUAUAAAAAAUUUACUUAUUUUGGAUUUUUGUAAAAUCGAGCUAUCUUUUUUAUUUUUACAGAUUCAGUCUAUUUUUUCAGCAAACUGACCAAAAUACCCUUAUACCUUUUUUUCUCUCCUUUUUUUUUCUCGCGUUCUUUUUUUUCUUUCUUUUCCCAGAGAGCGGCGAAGGCGGAGGAGGCGGCUUGUCCGGCGCAUCCUUACCGUCGCCCGCACACCCCCGCACCUUCCUUAUCUCUGACCUUGCCGAGGCCGCAUCGCGACUUUUUUUUUUUUUCCUCUCCCACUCUCCUUCACCGUUUCCGACGACGACGCCUCUCUCGCUCUCCCCGUCCUUCUCGUCCUGUCCCUCUCCUUUUUUCUCUGCCGCCUCCGACGACGACGCAUCUUCGCCGGCGCCGACAAUAUGCCGGCGCAUCCUUACCCUCGCCUGCACACCCCUGCACCUUCCUCGCCUUCGAUCCUGCCGAGGCCACGUCGUGACUCUUUUUUUUUUUUCCUCUUCGACUCUCCUUCACUGUUUCUGACGACGACGUCUCUAUUGUAUCCUCCAUUAACAUUUUUUUUAAGCUCCAAUUCCAUACUCUAUAAAUCCUAUUUUCACACUCCAAAGGUUACAAUAGGGGCAUAUUUGUAACUUCACUACAACAUAAUUAGUUAAUUAUAAACAAAAAAUUAAGGUUAAUUAAAAAUUGAUAAAAAUGUACCCCUCGUUUUGAGAUGACUCCCUAAACUUUACAGAUAAAAUCAAAAUUGGAUUAAAAAUAACUUAAUAUUUUUUUAUUUCUUUUUAAUGAAUAUCCACAGUUAUGUUGUCCAUUAAAUAUGAAGUAAGUUUAUGUCAAAAUACAUAAAAUUUACUUUAACUUUUAACUCUUUUGAUUUGAGUAUCUGACCAUUCAAAAUUAAAUUUUAUUGUUCAACCUUUUAAUUACUUUUAUUUGAGCUAGUUCUUUUAUUUUAGAAUUUGGAUGCACUAUCGAGAUUAUUGAACUCAACUAGAGUAUUUAUAUGAUUUAGAUGAUUAGUUUCUAUUUAAAAGAAACGAUGCGCCAAAAUAUUAUAACUAAAGAGCCACCGAAUGACUGAAAUUAAAAUAAUUAAAAGAUUGUGCAGUAUAAAUAUACCGUUCAAAACUUAAAAAAUAUCUCAUGUAUUAUUGGUUGACCAAAAUACCCUUGUUAAUUCCAAAAAAUUUCUUCAAAUAUCCUAAAAUCUCUAGGGUUUACUAAUAUGAUUUGCCGUUUAGAAGGGUAUUUUGGUAAUUUUAAAAUAAAUUUACAAGUUUUAAAUAGUAGUCACGAACAAAUAUGUAAAAACUCCAUAAAAUUUGGGGUAAACUUUUCUUGUCAUCUUGUCAUUCAAAAAGUUGCAUUUAUCUGUACUGUAAGUUUUUCUUAUUUCAUCAAAAAACUUAUUGUCAAAUAAAAUAAUAAAGUAAUUUUUUUUGAAAAUUAAUCUGGAUUAUACCCUACAUAACGAUAUAUCCUUCUAGUGAAAUGAAAAUAAAAUCACAAUAUAAUUAAGUUUAAACUUUAAACAAUCACACAAUGACAAAAUAAAAAUGGCUAAACUGCGCGAGGGCAAAUUAAAUUUUAUUCUAAAAUUUUUUAUGUCAGAAAGAUGUCAAAUAGUACAUACUUGAAGCAAGUUUUAUUAUGCUUUUUAACCAUAAUUUAUUUUUUAAGGUGAAAGUCCAAUAUUGCCCCUAAGGCCUUGUUUGGAUACAUAGUUAAAAAACUCCAUGGAAUUUUUAUUCUAUAGUUUUUAUCUAAAUGAAAUACGGAAUCCUGUAACUACAAAAAAAUUCUACAGCUUAAUUUUUAAGCUAUUUUGAUACAGAUCAUACAAUUCCACAGUAUUUAUAACAAUUAAAUUUCUAAAAUUUUAAAAUUCAAAAUUCAAAAUUCAAAAUUUAAAAUUCAAAAUUCAAAAUUUAAAAAUAAANNNNNNNNNNNAAAUUUAAAAUCAAAAUUAAAAUUGAAUUUUAAAAUUUUAAAUUUUGAAAUUUAAAAUUUUAUGUUGAAAUUUAAAAUUUAGAAAUUGAUACAUCUUUGGGAGUCCAAAAUGGUGGAAUUUUUUCCUUUGGUUAAAGUGGAUUGUAAGUUUACUCCAUUUUUUGGAGUAUAGUAUAACUAUACUCCAAAAAUUACAUUAUUUUUUUUCUUCCAACUGCUUCAUAGGAUUAUUUUCCUACCGGCAUAGUAUAGUUUAAUUAUGUAGGGUAUAAUCCAGAUUAAUUGUUUAACCAUUCUCUACCACUCCACCUUAUAUAUUCCCUCUCUUUAUUUAAUAAUAAUAAUAAUAAUUAUUAUUAUUAUUUAUUAUUAUUAAUCCCCAUAAUUCCAUUAUUUUUGUAAGUAUAUAAAUAUAUAAAUAUAUAGAGAAGCUCAUUUUCCACUCUCUAUUCUCUCUCCCUCUCUCUAUCUCUCUCUCCCUCUCUCUCUACAUCUCCGUUUAUAGCAGAGGAAAAGCUCCGAAGCUUUAGCCCAAAAAUGGCGGCUUUUUAGGGUACGCUCCUUCUCCCUCUCUUUGGAUUCGUGUCGCACUGUUCGAUUUGUACUAAUCUGUUCGGUUUUACUCCCUUUUUUGGCGAAUUUUUAACGAUUUUUUGACAAAUUUGUGUGGCUUUUGAGCCGAAAGUGAUGUUUUUGAAUGGAUCCAAUGAGAUCUGUGGGGAAUUUGGCUAUUUGAGGAAUACCGAUUUGUUGGAUUGGGUUUGAAUCGAUUGCCUUGGGUGAUCUGAAUAUUUUGGCCUUUUCAUUUCCUUUUUUUUGUCAUAUUUUGUUGUUUUUUUUGGCUGGAGAUGUAUUAUUUGUGCUCAAGUUGUUUCAAAAUUGAUCAAAAUUGAGUAUUUUAGGUCGGUGAUUUAGUGCUUUGGUUUGUUGUACCCACUAUAGAUCCAAAAUUUUCAUGCAUUUGUAUAGCAAAUUCUUAGAUUUGUACGUAUAAAUAUACGAAUUAUUAUUCUCUUUAAAUGUGAUUAUUCUCGUUUUGUUUCAUGCAGGAGAUUGAAUCAUUCAUCGGUUGGCUUUUUGUUUGAUUUGUGAAUUAUUUACUGUUUAAUUUCCCGCAAUUUGUAAAUUGCAACACCUCCUACAAUGCCUGGAAUUAUAAUGGAUGAAAUUGUGAGAGAAGACGGAUCGAAUGAUGCGAAUUCGUCGCAAAUUAAAGAGAAUUUGUCGACCCCCAAAUCUCCGAGGGCUUCUUCGCCGAGCCAACUGAGUGCUCCGAUAGGCGCUCUCGAAAUCCGCGGUGGAAAUUUUGGGGAGCCGUCGAUCGAACAGCUUUACCACAAUGUGUGUGAGAUGGAGAGCUCCACCGAGGACUCCGGUCGCCCGAGCUUCGGAUCGGACGGCGAGGAAUCGAGGAUCGAUUCCGAGCUAUGCCACCUCGUCGGUGGCGAAAUGGAAGCUGUUAAAGCAAUCGAGGACGAAGAAGAGCGAGCUUCCCCGAGUGGGAAUAUGGUUAAGACCGAAUCCCCCGCCGAGUCUUUGAAUUCGUCGAAGAAGUCGAAAAAUCCUUCGAAAGCACAACUAGAAUCUUCUCCGGCCGUGAAUUCGAGCCCGAAUGAUAACAGCGUGAAGAAGACUCCUAGUAGAUUCGGUCGCUUGAAGAAGCAAGCAAACGGAGGCGAAGACCCAUCCGAAGCCGGACUCGGACUCGACAACCCUGACCUCGGCCCGUUUCUUCUCAAGCGCUCGAGGGAUUUGAUCGCCUCGGAUAACAUCCGAAGGGCUUUGAAAUACGCUCGCCGUGCAUUGAAAUCGUUCGAGAAGUGCUCGGACGGGAAGCCCAAUUUGAACUUGGUGAGGUGCUUACAUGUCUUAGCCGCAAUUAACUGCAACUUAGGGCAGUAUGGUGAAGCCGUCCCGCUUCUUCUACGUUCGCUUGAGAUUCCAGUUCUCGAAGAAGGCCCAGAGCAUGCCCUAGCUAAGUUUUCGGGCUAUAUGCAGUUAGGUGAUACUUAUGCAAUGUUAGGGCAACUUGAAUCUUCGAUAAAGUGCUACAAUGAGGGCUUACAAGUUCAGAAGCAAACGUUGGGUGAUACGGAUCCUAGGGUCGGUGAAACUUGUAGAUAUUUAGCGGAAGCUUAUGUACAAGCGCUUCAAUUCGACGAAGCACGGAGACUGUGCCAAAUGGCUUUAGACAUUCACAAGGAGAGCGGCGAACCGGCUUCUCUCGAAGAAACGGCCGAUCGACGGCUUAUGGGCCUUAUUUGCGAUACCAAGGGCGAUCACGAAGAAGCGCUCGAGCAUUUAGUUUUGGCUAGCAUGGCCAUGGUGGCCAAUGGCCAAGAAUCCGAGGUGGCUUCUGUCGACAGCAGCAUUGGAGACAUUUAUCUAUCCUUAGCUCGGUACGACGAAGCCGUUUUCGCUUACCAAAAAGCGCUUACGGUGUUCAAAACCAGCAAAGGGGAGAACCAUCCUGCCGUGGCUUCUGUGUUUGUUCGUUUGGCCGAUUUGUACAAUAAAAUCGGGAAGAUAAGGGAAUCGAAGUCUUAUUGCGAGAAUGCGCUUAGAAUAUAUCAAAAGCCGAUUCCAGGGACAUCUCCUGAGGAAAUUGCUACUGGGUUAACUGAUAUUUCUGCUAUAUACGAAUCGAUGAAUGAGCACGAGCAAGCAUUAAAGCUGCUUCAAAAAGCGCUAAAGUCGUAUAACAAUUCGGCUGGUCACCAAAGCACGAUCGCUGGGAUCGAGGCCCAGAUGGGAGUUUUGUAUUAUAUCACGGGGAAUUACGGGGAGUCUUAUGUGUCCUUCAAGAGUGCUAUUAGUAAGCUUAGGGCUUGUGGGGAGAAGAAAUCGGCUUUUUUCGGUGUUGCUUUGAAUCAGAUGGGGCUAGCUUGUGUUCAAAGGUAUGCUAUUAAUGAGGCGGCGGAGCUUUUCGAAGAAGCCAGAAGCAUUUUGGAGCAGGAGUACGGACCAUAUCAUCCUGAUACACUUGGAGUGUACAGCAAUCUUGCGGGAACGUAUGAUGCCAUGGGAAGGUAUACAUAUUUCUUAAUUAGCUUAAUAUCCUCUGCUAUAUAUUCUUCAUAUAUUUCCAUGUUGGAUUCAAUUUAUAUGCUAUUAUUGCUUUCCUUAAAUUAUCUCGACAUCAUUGCUAUAUGGUUGAUUGGAGUACGAUUUUUCUCUUCGUUUUUUUUUGACUCGUUGCAAUAGUUUUACUUAUGCUUUAAGGAUGAGUGCAACUUUUCUCAAGAGAGCAAUAUUUCCAUCAGAAUCUGAAAAUUAAACUAGAUGGCCAUUUUGCAUUAAAAUUCUACUUUUUUGUUGUUGUUUUUUUGCACAUCUUCUCUUCUUUUUAUUUACUUUUUCAACUAAUGAUAAAAUAUGCACCAAAAUACCCUUGAUCAAAGUCCAUAUAUUUAUCAUAAAUGAAAAUUUCAGGCCAACUUAUUUUUUGCCAGAAAAAGGAAAAAGUGGAUCAAUGAUACAAAAUCGAAAAAAAAGAGCGGGCUAUCUUUACAAGAACCGAAACAAGGCAUUCAAGUGCUGUUGAGGCAUGAAAUUCUCUGAGCUGUUGCGUAAAGUUUCAAAUAUUUAAAACUUAGGUGGUUUGCUUAUUUGAAGUGCUAUUGUUUAUUUCCCUUUCCAUUAUUUAUUUGUGGUCUGCUUAUUAAAAAGGUACAAUGUGAGUAUUAUAUGGUUUGCUUUGUUGCUUUUGCUUUGCUUUUUCUUUUUGCAUUAGCUUUAUUGAUUGUUGUAGGAAGCUUCCCACUAACACUGGGGGCAUGUGGUUUGCAGCUUUAUGGAAUGUCUCCUUUGCUAUCUCUUAUAUAGGUUAGUGUUAUAGUACUGACUCUCCAACUACUGUACACUGUGUCAGUUUAUUUUUUAUGAGCAGCAAAAGCUUAAGCUUAGCUUUAGAAUCGUUGAAAAAGAUCAAAUAAUGUCGCGAAUCUGCUUAGCUUUUAGUUGAUGAGGUUUGCCGAAGCCAAAUUAGUGAAGGAAAGGGUAAAUUUGACCCGUAAUGCGAAACCAAAUUAGGUAAUCUUAAGUCAAAAUUUGUCUCGGAUGUUUCUCAUAUCAGUUAAGCUAUAACUCCGAGAAUUUUUUACUGCAAUUUGUUGCACGGCUAUUCAAGAAGCCGAAGCCAGAGAGCUGGCAAAAAAAAGAAAGUAAGUUUGUUUGGCCAUGUUGUCGAGUGUAGUUCAGUCUGGAAUAGUGCUAUUCGAGUCAGCACUAUAUAAAAAUCAUCCCAAUGGCUCUUCCCUACGGUAGAAGUAGAAAUUUCAAAUUAAAACUUCUAUUUGGGUCUUAAAGCCUCGUUCUAACUUAUUGCAGUAGAGGCUCCAGGCCUUUUUGUACGUCAAAACUCUAUUAGAAAUAGCUGCAACUGAAAGCAAAAGUAGAAGCAGAACCAAAUAGGCACUUAAACAACUCUACUUAAAAAACACUUUUGCAAAUGCUCCAGCUAUAUCAAAAUCUAACACCCUGAUGCAAAUAUGUUGCGCUAUUCCAAACUUCAAAGCAAGGCGUAAUGAUGACGAUGAUGACAUCUGAGUUGUUCAUUCUCUUUUUAAUGUGUAGGUUGGAUGAGGCCAUAGAGAUGCUGGAGUAUGUGGUGGGGAUGAGGGAGGAGAAGCUGGGGACAGCCAACCCAGAUGUGGCUGAUGAGAAGAGGAGGUUGGCUGAGCUGUUGAAGGAAGCUGGAAGGGCCAGAAGCAGAAAAGCCAGGUCACUUGAGAACCUCCUGGAGACCAACCACCCCCCUACUAUUACUGCUACUGCUGCAGCUACAACAAACACAAAUGCCAUUGUGGCUUAAUAAUAUAAUAAUAAUAAUUCUCUUUAAAUCAAAGUGUGAUGAAGGUAGAGAGGAGGAUGGUAUUAGAAGGGUUCAAUGAUUAAUAUAUAACAUAAUGAUUGAUAGUUGAUUGGUUGCAUUGUAUACUUUAUUGCUCUUUUAAAGGGAUUUGUUCUUUUGGUUAAUUUCUAUUGCUUAGAAUAUUUGCGAUAUAUAUUUUUUUUAGAGAAUCUCCAAUUAUGUUUUUGGUAUGAUGUUUGAUGUAUCGCUAGCCAAUCAUAUGAUACUGCAUCGUUCAAUGCGUAUUAUAAAAGAUUACUACCACUACCACCACCACCACCACAAACACAAACUUUACCGAAAGUGGAGGGGGUCGAAGUUGUUUUCGGCCGUAAAUGAUUUCUUUUGCUGUCUGGUUCGUUGUAAAUUAAAUUCGCUUGUAAUUUCACUUUUUUAAAAUGUUAUAAUUGACUUCAUCGUGGGUGGUGCGGAAGUCAAUAGUAAAAAAUUAUCUGUUGUAACUUUUUGUUUUUUCACCUUCUUAUGUGAUUGUGUGGAAACUUUUGGUUUUAGGGGGUGGCUUCAAUGAUGAUCAUCACAAUACAAUGGUUAGUAAUUGAAUUGAUGAUGAUUGAUUGAUUGUACUAUAUUUGGUGAACUACUUGUGAGUUUUUAAAAAGGAUAAUGGAUAUGUCACGACGAGACCAGAUCCGCAAGUCCGAAGCCCGAUGGGUGGGUGGGCCUGGGCCUGAUUUUUUUCUGGUCCGGCCUGGAUCGGAACAUAAAUAAUCUGGGCUUGAGUCAGGUCCUUAAAAGGCCGAAUCGACUCGGCCGGAUUUAUAAUAAUCUCUUUAUAAAAUUAGUAAAACUAUAUAGAACUUAUCUGAAGUGUUGAUCGUUCUAAAUUUACUGCACAACAUUUUAAAAUUUUGAUUUUACUAUCUAAUAUUUUCAAUUUGUUUGUUUUGAGUCAGUUUGACGAUACUUUUACUUUAAAAUUUAAGCUAAUUGUUUAUUCUAAUAAGUUUAUAGCUGUGAGAAUUACAUGAAUAUACUAAAUCUGUAAAAAUGAAUGACAAGUUAAAGUACUGUUAACUACUCAAAUUAAAAUAUUGAAAGGUUAGAUAAUAAAAUUAAAAUUUUAAAAAAUUAAAUAACCAAAUUUAAAAAAAUGUUAUAUAUAAAAGAGGAAAUAAAAGUUUUCAAUUUGUCAAAUUUUCUUUUAAAUAUAACCUUUAUAUUCCCAAAGUGGAAAAUAAAAAAUAUGGCAAACUUCAAUGGGCACAAAAGUGAAAUUAUCUUAUAAAUUGUGAAAACUAUGCACCUUUUUUACUUUACAAUCUCAUGGCUUAUACCCUAUUUUAUUUGACACAGCAUAUUUUUAUGAUAGAAUAAAUUUUUUUUUUUUUUUAUGAGAGCUACGGCGCGUUUGAAGUAAUCACUUAAUUAGUUAAUUAUGGUGUUUAAAAAAAAACCGAACCGCAUUAUUUGUUCCGGUUCAACAGACUCCGACAGUAACCCGAACCGGUCCGGUUCACGCGCGAGCGCACUCUACCUAUCUUCGUCGUCGCUCAUCGAUCGGAAAAACCCUAAACCCUCCUCUCUCUCUCUCUCUCUCUCUCUCUCUAUCGGUCUCUCCCUCCUCCCUGAGCUCGACAAUGGCGAUCUCGAAGCCGAAGAAGCCCCAAACCACCCUCACCGCCACCACCACUGCCGCAUCCUCCUCCGCCGAGGACCUCGACCGCCUCAAAUCCGAGGUAGCCUCCUUCGCCUCUUCCCUCGGCCUCGCCCCCCUCUCCUCCGCCGCCGCCGGGUUCGACGACUCCGACUUCCGCAAACCCGUCCCCCUAAAAGCCCCCAAAACCCUAGCCCCCGAUCCCGGCGAGCCCAAGAAGGGCGACGACCGCGAUCUCAAGCCGAAGCAGAAACCCAAACCCCACCCCCUACAAAUCGACCCCUUCGAUCACGAGGACAAGAAGAGGCUACCCACCUAUCCGCUGAUGAAGGCGAGCUCGCUCUCGGGGCAGUGGUACGCCGACGCGGAGGAGGUGGAGGCUAGGGUUCUGGGGCAGGAAGUGAGGACGAAGGCGUCGGCAGCGGCGAUGGGGAUCGAGGUGAUGAAGGGGUUGGUGGCGAGGAAGAAGGAGGUGGCGGAGAGGCUUAUGAGGCAGUACGCAGGGGAGUACGAGCAAUCGAGGAGGAAGAGUGGGGAUAUGAAGCUUCUUGAAGUGACGGCAAGGUCGGGAACUUCUGCAGAUAAGGUUUCGGCAUUCACCUGCUUAGUGGAGGAUAAUCCGAUCGCGAAUUUGAGGUCUCUCGAUGCUCUUCUAUGUGAGUUACUCUAUGUACUCAUCAACUAGUGUCUCUUCUUUGGGAAUAAUUUAGGUGACCUGUAUGGUACAGUCCAAUUUCAAUCUAAUACCUUGUGAUUUAGAUUGUAACAUUUUACUGUGUCGAUACUAUAUGACUCAUCUAACCACUGUACUAAGCGAAUUAAUGAGAUCAUGCAAUUAGCUAUUUUUAAUCAGCAACUUGAUUGUCGCGUACUCGCAUUCUUCAAUUUUACUGGUUUUAAGGACAAGUUCAAAUGGGCAAUUGGAGCAGUAAUCUUUGGUUGUAAAAUGUUGCAUCCGUUUUAAUACAUUUCGUUUUCUGCAUUUUCUUUCUUGUUUCUGUAUGAAGGAACUUUUAUUUGAUGCAGCUAUGGUGACCUCAAAGGUUGGGAAGCGCUAUGCAUUUACUGGUUUUGAGGCGCUAAAGGAGUUGUUUCUUUCAAGGUUAGCGAAUUCAAUCUGCUAGUGUUGUAUUCUCUCUCUUUCGGGAUUUACUAUGGAUUUUUCACUCGAUUAGUCAUAUGAUCUUCUUCCUAAUAGAUAAAUUAUUAGGUUCACCAAGAAUAGUGAAAUCUUCAAUUCAUACCAGUUAUAUGCCAACUAGUGCUGGUUCAAACUCGGUAUAUGGUAUCAAAUAGCUCGCUGGCAUGAUCUUUCCUUAUGAAACAUACCUACGUGUGGUGCGGUAAUUUUUUUUUCGUCUGAAUUUUUUUUUUCAGGUUGCUUCCAGAUCGUAAGUUGAAAUGCCUUUUCCAGCGCCAAUUGGAUGUUUUGCCGGAGACAAAAGAUGGUUUUACUCUUUUGCUCUUCUGGUACUGGGAGGAAUGUUUGAAGCAAAGGUAAAUUAAAUUUUGGCGUCCCAUUAGUUGAUUUUUCUUUAUUGAGUAUCAUUACAGAAGUUAUUUCAUAUUACUGUCCAUUUUAUUUUACUACAUGUAUUUUUUA
rnacentral:lncRNA from 1 species